rnacentral:lncRNA from 1 species
CAUCCCGGGGGUACCUAACGUAGCUGCGUCAGGACGUGUGGGCAUUUUUGUUUCGUGCCACACGCGCGGGGUGGAGAUAAAUAGUACUUGUUGGGCGUGUGGCACGAAGUAGCCUCGCCCGCACGUGUGGGCAAUUCUAAGAGCAUCUCCAACAGCCGCCCAAUGUGUGGCGCCCAAAAAACGGGUUUACAGCGCGCACGUAAAAUUUUUUGGGGCGCUAGAAGACGUUUGCUCCAACAAGCGCUGUAAAAUAUGCUGCGCGCGCGAGUCCAGCGGUCCCAAUCCAAACGGUCCCAUCUGCAGCAGCCCAGAGUUUGCAGCGCGCGCAACCGGGCGCACUAAAUAUGCUGCGCGCGAUGCGUUUUUAAUGCGCGCGCUGCAUCAGUUAUAGCGCGCGCGCGCUUUUUAUGCGGCCGCUGGAGACUUUAAAUCGAGCCCGCGCGCGCUAAAAGCAACUUUUAUACCGCGCGGCGCUUAUAUAGCGCUUCUGUUGGAGAUGCUCUAAUGUCCGCCCACACACAACCCGUGUGGGCUGCCUCCUGCUCACACCACACGUGGUGUGUGUGCACAUGUCGAAUAUACCACACGUAUGACAGUUAUCGUCGUCCAUAAUUUAAGAGGUCUGGGUGUGGAUGCUCUAAGCGUCGACAAAUAGGCCAUGAGCCCACGGGAGAGUAGUACUGACUUCGUUCCGUUGACUUUUUACGCAUUUUAUAUUUGCGGCGUAGCAGCCUAACACACUUGCCGCUGACCCGCGCAUACAUUCUCGCUAGGGUUUGACAUCUUUCCCCCAUGGCCACGCCACCUUACACAUCAGCCAUCGACCUGAUCCGAUGUGCUACUCAAAUCCAUGGCCACCGCGUGCACCGUAACAUUCUGCAUAUCGACGUGGAUGCACGGCGUUCUGCUCCUCCUACGGCUCUCCUAGUAUGAAAGUAUAUGUAGUAUGAAGUUGGCGAUAUUGGAUAGCGUUGACGACGUUGUUGGCCGUGGCCGAAAGGUGGCGGUGGAGACGAAAGGUAGCGAUACUGGAACAUUGUUACGUAGAGCUGUGGUUGGUGGUGAGAGAUAGCCUGUCGACACUAAUCAACUAGCGGGCGUUGAAAAUGACACGCAUGAAAUUAGCCAUACAAUUUGGCGUGUGGUCAAACAGGGAUGUUGUAGUUAUUUGCUGGCAAAUUUGACAAAUCUGACCUAUGGACGAAAUCAAAUCACAAAAUGAACUGUCCGGUAAACUAUUUCACACGUCUAACCCUUUUGUGUAGCGCCCGCCACGACGGCGCCACACUCACUGUGCAAGGCCUCGCAGAUAGGCGCUACACGGCCAGCGUCGUACCUGUGUACUCCGAAAAUUAGUAAAUCAGUGUGCAGCGCCUGAGAGCUAGGCGCCACACUAUACAGUGUAGCGCCUGGCUCCUAGGUGUUGCACUAGUGCAGCGCCUAGCUCGCCGGCGUUGCACUAGUGCAGCGCCUGGGAGCUAGGCGCCACGGGUCAGCGGCGUGAAAUAAUUUACCGGACAGUUCAUUUUAUGAUUUGAUUUCAUCUAUAGGUCAAAUAGGUCAAAUUUGCCUUAUUUGCUUGCUAGUUGUAGGUCGUGUCAUGGCCGGAUUGGUUNNNNNNNNNNNNNNNNNNNNNNNNNNNNNNNNNNNNNNNNNNNNNNNNNNNNNNNNNNNNNNNNNNNNNNNNNNNNNNNNNNNNNNNNNNNNNNNNNNNNNNNNNNNNNNNNNNNNNNNNNNNNNNNNNNNNNNNNNNNNNNNNNNNNNNNNNNNNNNNNNNNNNNNNNNNNNNNNNNNNNNNNNNNNNNNNNNNNNNNNNNNNNNNNNNNNNNNNNNNNNNNNNNNNNNNNNNNNNNNNNNNNNNNNNNNNNNNNNNNNNNNNNNNNNNNNNNNNNNNNNNNNNNNNNNNNNNNNNNNNNNNNNNNNNNNNNNNNNNNNNNNNNNNNNNNNNNNNNNNNNNNNNNNNNNNNNNNNNNNNNNNNNNNNNNNNNNNNNNNNNNNNNNNNNNNNNNNNNNNNNNNNNNNNNNNNNNNNNNNNNNNNNNNNNNNNNNNNNNNNNNNNNNNNNNNNNNNNNNNNNNNNNNNNNNNNNNNNNNUGUGCAAGGCCUCGCAGAUAGGCGCUACACGGCCAGCGUCGUACCUGUGUACUCCGAAAAUUAGUAAAUCAGUGUGCAGCGCCUGAGAGCUAGGCGCCACACUAUACAGUGUAGCGCCUGGCUCCUAGGUGUUGCACUAGUGCAGCGCCUAGCUCCCGGGCGUUGCACUAGUGCAGCGCCUAGCUCGCCGGCUAGGCGCUGCACUAGUGCAGCGCCUAGCUCGCCGGCGUUGCACUAGUGCAGCGCCUGGGAGCUAGGCGCCACGGGUCAGCGGCGUGAAAUAAUUUACCGGACAGUUCAUUUUAUGAUUUGAUUUCAUCUAUAGGUCAAAUAGGUCAAAUUUGCCUUAUUUGCUUGCUAGUUGUAGGUCGUGUCAUGGCCGGAUUGGUUGGCCGGCCGGGAGUACUGCCGGUGCCAAUGCAUGGUGUCCAGUCGAUUCCACGAUGCAUCCUUUACAAGAUUCAGCCGACUCUGCGCAGCAUUGAUCAUUCAGGCGUGACCGUGCGUGACACACCUGAGCCAGGGCACAGCACCUUUUGCAGUACAGUAGGCACUAUGUUUGUUCUGGAUCGAUGAAUAUGCUCUCUCAAUCGUCACUUGUUGCGUCUCACUACCAUCUAUACAUACUAUCAGUAUCAGGUGCACGUCACUACCUGAGCCAGGGGCAAAUUUAACAAAUUUGACCUAUAGACGAAAUCAAAUCACAGAAUGAACUGUCCGUUAAACUAUUUCACGCAGCUGACCCGUGGCGCCUAGCUCUCAGGCGCUGCACUAGUGCAACGCCUGGGAGCUAGGCGAUGCACUAGUGCAACGCCUAGGAGCUAGGCGCUACACUGUAUAGUGUGGCGCAUAGCUCUCAGGCGCUGCACACUGAUUUAGUAAUUUUCGGAUUACACGGAUAUGACGCUGGCCGUGUAACGCUUAUAUGUGAGGCGUUGCACAGUGUAGUGUGGCGCCUUCGUGGCGGGCGUCACACAAAAAGGUCAGCCGCGUGAAAUAGUUUCACGAACAGUUCAUUCUGUGAUUUGAUUUCGCCAUAGGUCAAAUUUAUCAAAUUUGCCUGAGCCAGGGCACAUCAUCUUUUGUACUACUCGCCUACUGUGUUUGACCCACUACAUUAUGAAACCGAUAGAGUAUCAUGAAAAAUAGAGGCAAAUAGGCCACGAGCCCACGGUAAAUCGUACAGCUGUGUUCGCGCCGUUGACGUACGGCCUAACGCACCCGCGCGUUGACACUACGACACAUGGACCACAUGGUAGGCUAUAUAAUCCAUGGCGGCCGCGUGUGCACCUAUUGUUAGAGCAUCGACGACGUACGUGGAUGCAUGCAUGCAUGGCGCCGCGCUCCACCCAAGCCCCCUUGCUUCUGCUUCUGCUUGUGCUUGCACAGCUCUCGGCCGGUGUGGCGUCGUCGUUCUCCGGCCACAGCUACCACAGCUUCCCGGUGUUCGACGGCAUGUCCAUCACCGACGGCGUCGUGGUGGCCACAAACUCGUCCAAGCUGUCGCCGGCCACGUUCCUCUUCGACGCGCAACUCUUCCCGGAGUUCAACCAGACCGAGGGCUUCGUGCUCCUCUCGCGCUCUGGCGCGUCGCCGCCGACGCUGACGGCGUCCGCGAGGAGGCGUCCUUCAUCACAACGGCGGCGGCUCUUACGCCGUCUCGUUCGUGGUGCUCCUCGACAGCUUCCCCCCGCUCAACGUCAGGAACGAGAAGCACGGGCCCCGCGGCGGUACGAACGACACGGCCCUGCCCGUCGCCGCCGCUGCAGUGCCGAACGCCACCAACGGCAUCGCCGCCGUUGAGGUCGGCUCAGUGAGCUCUUACGGGCCGCGGGCGCCGCCGGGCGUCGGCCUGAACGUCACCAUCACGCCCAACCGUUCGUCCUCCGGCGCCGGCACCAGCCGGCUCGCCGUGCGGAUCGCGUACGACGCCGCCAUGCACCGUCUCUCAGUCUACGCCCACGACACGGCCGCCGGCGACCCGCCCGUCAACGACACAGCCGCCCUCCUCCUCGACGCGCCGCUCGACCUCGCAGACCGCCUGCCCGCCCAGGCCGCGCUGGUGGGGUUCUACGCCUCCACGGUCCGGGACCUCGUCUUGGGCGUCCAUGACUGGGAGCUGACAGUGGACGGACUCCCCGACGACGACGGUGACAGGACACGGCGUGAACAGGACGAUCAGAGGAGGUCGUCAUCGUCAUCAUGGCUGAUGAUACUGCACGCCGUGCUCGGGUGCGUGGCGGCGAUCGCCGUCGUCGUGGUCUCCGUGAUUGUGUACCACGUCGUGGCCAGGCGCCGGGCGGUGGACAUGGAGGUGCAGCAAUGCUACAAAGACUAUUUCGCGAGGAUGAGGCGCUGAUGGAGUGGCGACCUACCACUCGGCUGACUUUCGGCGAGUGGUUGGUGCGCUUGCCACAGCCCACAAGACGAGGUCGAGAUCUCGAUGUCGACAUGGACGCCGUUCAUGUUCAGUUGAGAGCCCGAGAGGAGAGACCGGCACGAGACAUGACGACACAACCUGAGUUGGACGACAGAGUGUGUGUGAAAGGAUCGAGUUGCAUAUGUAUAUAGUAUGAGUAGAUAUGUACGUAUAUAUAUGUAAUGCUAUAUCNNNNNNNNNNNNNNNNNNNNNNNNNNNNNNNNNNNNNNNNNNNNNNNNNNNNNNNNNNNNNNNNNNNNNNNNNNNNNNNNNNNNNNNNNNNNNNNNNNNNNNNNNNNNNNNNNNNNNNNNNNNNNNNNNNNNNNNNNNNNNNNNNNNNNNNNNNNNNNNNNNNNNNNNNNNNNNNNNNNNNNNNNNNNNNNNNNNNNNNNNNNNNNNNNNNNNNNNNNNNNNNNNNNNNNNNNNNNNNNNNNNNNNNNNNNNNNNNNNNNNNNNNNNNNNNNGCUGUUGCGCAUGGCGAACGGGCGGCGUCGUCGCGUGCAAGAGUGUCUGUCAGGCCUUCGGCACCGACGAGCUGUGUUGCCGUGCACCUACGAACAUGCUUGCCCCUUCUCGAACACCUUGCCGCCAUGCACCGCAGCCAGAUUUGACCGCGUGGCGUACGGGCGGUCAGAAAGCUAGCACCGUCGAGGAGCACACGCUCGCCGCCGUAGUCGACGGCCGCAUCUGCACGCACGCUCACGCUCGAAGGGGGAGGAUUUGCCGGUGAGCUCUGCCGUUGUCGAACUUGAUUUUGAGGCUGAAUCGAUGGCAGGCACAUGUAGAGUUGAAACCCGUCGGCCGGCACCCACAGCGGCGGCGGAGAGGAAGGUAGGGUUGGUGGCGGCGGUGAAGGGGCAGUACAUGGUGGUCCGGUGGGCGGCUCCGGUGGCAAGCGGAAGGAAGGCAGGGCUCCGGUCACGGGAGGAAACAAAACGGCUGGUGGUUGGGCGUCGCGGGCGAGUCGCUUGGCUUUACAACAGCCGCCCAAGUGUUGUAUAUUUGUAGCACUUGGUGCUUCAUUUUAGAGCUACCAAAUUUUCUUUUGCAAUUUUUUUAUGAUUGAGCUACUGUUGGAGAGGGUUUUUUGCCCUCAAAUAUCCUAAAAAGGCCUAGUGCCCUAAAUUAGGGAGAUGCUCUUUGGAGCUGCCACUCGCCGGUAGUGUCUUCCGAGGAGUGACAAAUUAUGACCCAGCUAGAAAUUCUGCUUCUGAGGUGACUUUUCUUUUAAAAAUGUGGGCAAAAGAUUUGUCACUUUCGUCGAUUAAGAAGAAGGUUUAGAGGUUUUCGUCCAUUGGCCGAAUUACAAUUCAUUACAUUACUGUCGCGGCACAUCGUUACUCAAAUACUUAGCUCGUGCCAGACACCAUAACUUUGAUACAUCUUUGGUUCUAGCAACAAGGACCCCUACCGACUUCAGCACCAUUUGCGCUGCUUACUUGGGAUUUCUGUGGGAGACGUUACUCCUGAACAGCCAGCUGCCCCUUGUACCACUUCAGAAUUUUCAUGAAGAUUAUACAUUGUUUUUUGCUAUUAAGCUUUGUUUUUUGAAAUCUGACUAGAUUGUCGGUACUCUAUAUUAUGAUGUGAACAAAUGUUAUUUUUUGAGUGAAUAUAAUUUAGUUGUCUCGUUGUAAAUUGUGCUGCAUUAAGAAAACAAGAGAGCAACUAGUUAACGAGCGCUCCUUUAGGAGGCUCACAACGAUCAGCGUCACUUGGCGUGCUCUCAGCCGCCCGCCACGUGCCGCGCUCUGAGCGCUCCCUUCGAAAUUUUUUUCUGCAUGCGUUUUCGGCUUUUUAAACUAUUUUUUACUGGGUUUUUUCGACGGUUUUCAACCGGUCUUCCUUAACUUUUGAAAAAAAAUCGAAAAAAAAGAAAUUUGCGCGAAUAAACGUGUUUUUUUCGUGAGAGGCACGGUUUUACUUUCGCGAUAGUCACGGCCGUGACUCUCGGAAACGAAAAAAAAACGCGUUUUCUGUUUUUUUUCUUCCGCGAGAGACACGGUUUUUCUUUCGAGAGAGACACGGUUGUGCUUUUGCGAGAGGCACGGCCGUGCCUCUCGGAAACGAAAAAAACGUGUUUUCCGUUUUUUUCCUUUCGAGAGAGGAACGGUUUUGCUUCCGCGAGAGUCACGGUUGUGCUUUCACGAGAGGCACGGCCGUGCCUCUCGGAAACAGAAAAAAAACGCGUUUUCUGUUUUUUUCUUUCACGAGAGGCACGGUUUUGCUUCCACGAGAGGCAUGGUUGUGCUUUCGCCAGAGGCACGGCCGUGCCUCCUCGGCAUGGAAAAAACCGUGUUUUCUCUUUUUUUUCCUUCCGCGAGAGACACGGUUUUGCUUCCGCAAGAGGCACGGUUGUGAUUUAGUGAAAGGCACGGGCGUGCCUCUCUCGGAAAAGAAAAAAAAACCGUGCUCCCGGUUCAGUUUUUUUGUCCGAUUUCUUUCAUGAAAAAAAAGUUUAUUAAAACCUAUCAAAAUGGGAUCUAGUUUUGAAGAUCUCGACGCCAGGAAUCCAACGGUGAAAACGGUUCAAGAUUUGGAUGCACGGUUUAAGAGAUAAACGUUUUGAAUAAACGAAUCUACGAAAAAAGGGAAAACUCCCAGGUUGCGACAAGUGGCGCACAUGCAGCGCGCCACUUAAUGCAACCUGGGAAGAUGGGAGUGAUCUUUGCAACGAGUACUCCUUAACUAAUGAUUUCGAGAAAACAAGCUGGACUAGAAAAUAGGCUAAUGGGUUGGACUAAAAAAAUUGGUAGGCUAAUGGGCAGGACCAAAAUAAAUAGCAAAUGGGUUGAACUGGACUAAAACUAUUGGGCCAAAACACUAAUUGGGUUGGUUACUACAUGGGCCACGUCGGCCUCCAUGUUAGAUCCACACAUAUGCCAUGUCAGGUCCACGUUGCUUUCUGGUCAUGUAAAUCGGUGACAGUUUGUUCCGUCACAGCCUAGUUUGGGCUGGGCGGGCCUGGGACAGAUCCAUGACGGCCAAGAACCGUCAUGGAAGGUACGAUGUUAAAUUAUGACACGAUAUACAUGACGGAUUUCAAGUCCCUCAUAGAUGGAUACGCAUGACAGUUUUUGGUUGAUCUGUGAGGACAACGACCGUCAUAUAUUAACAACUUUCUUGUAGUGAGUACAGCUUGGAGGCAAGGAUCAUCAUGCAGAAGUGAGUUGGCCUUGCCUCCUCAUUGUAGGGCCCGUAGUUCCGGCGCUUGUAGCCGGGGGGCUCCUCCAUCACUACUUCCUCGACCGUGGGUGGCACCUCCUCCAAGGGCGGCACCACCCUCCUUGCCCUUCUCCAUGGCCGACACCACCUCCUUGCCCUUAUUCUCCGUGUUGAUCUACAUUAUGAACAACAAAAAGUUCAAAGGUUGAUCAACAUUCGAUCCUAUUGUCCAAGCGCUAUAUUUAUCCACCCAAAGCCCCACUACGGACCGCACCGUCUUCGAUGAGGCAGCGGCGACACACCUCACGGCGGAUCCAUGCGUCAUUUGGGCGGACGCAAUGGAUUCGCGAUCAUCACACACAGUUAACUCGGCAAAGAUUCCCAUUCUCACGGAAACAACUGCAUGCCAUUCACCGCGUUGGCGAUUCCCAUUCUCACGGAACCGCUGUUGUCACGUCCACACCGCCUUCCUUCCCUUCAGCGCUACGCUUUGAGUUUACUAGCGGUUGGGGCGGCACCGGGUGGCGCCGCUUAAGAGGAAGUUCGGCGGUGCCAGGUGGGAGGCGCCCCUUCGGCUGUUUUUUUUUCUGCCACACAUGCAUGUACAACUGAGAAUCUUGUUAACCAAUGAGCAUAAAGCAGGCCAAAACCCUUGAAAGUGGCAAUCCAAAUCAUUAGAGCUAAAAGCGGAUUGGGAGCCAAAUGAGUUCAAACUACUUGAUGGACUAAACAUCUAGAAAGAAGCAUUUAAUCCACAUCUGAAACUUAAGAGAGAUCUCCUGACCAAUGUCAAUAGCUUCUGGUCUAACCAAAGAUAAAAUAUACAAGGGUAGCAGAUCGUAGAAAUUAUAUUGAUGUUAACAAGCCAGAAACCUUCUACCUUCUCAAGAAAAAGGAAGCUAAAAUCUUCAGGCAGGGCAUACUUUCAUGCUUUUAACAAUAUAUCAAUCGUAAGAGCAAGAACAUGGCCAAUUAAAUCUGUACUAUCAUCAUUAAAUUCAUGAACAAAUAAGAUUACUUGCAAUAUAGGAGGUAAUCCUUUCAUUUUUUUAUGGCAAAUGCAAAACAGUACAUGAUACUGAAAUAAUAUGUUCUGCAACUACGGUUUUCUCAAAAGAGAGUAAAUUAUUAAACCAAUUCCCAUUUCUGAAAACAAUGAAAAAACCCAGGGUAAUGUUGAAGAUGCAUGUGCAAUUAGAACAAGCAUGCAUUCUUGACUGACAAUGAGACACCAGUUGAGGCUCAGAUAGAACUCAGGGUACAACCAACUCUGUGGUUUAUACUGAACAACACACGAAGGAAUAUACUCUCCUCAAUCAAAAAAUUAUCUAAGGAAAAGAAGGAGGAAGUCACUUUUUAUAACAGAAAAGAGACCUCUGUCAUGGUUACACAGUCUAUGUGGACAUUUGAAGAUCUUGGUCAUGGCGUGCGGAUGCAUUGGUUGGGGGAGAUGCUAUAUUACUACGUGCGAAAGCAUUCAUCUGUCGUUUGAUGGGAAAAUGGAGAAGAAACAUUUAGCUUUCAAUUCCAAUAAUAAUCAGGAAAAGAAGUAAUCUUUGGGUAGAAAAUGAUGCUCUGGUUUGUCAGCCUCAGUAGAAUUCAAAGCGAAAAGAGUAACAUGUAUCACUAUGCAAGUACUGCAAGACAUGUCAAUAGUUUCCUAAAGUUCGCGGUGGAUAACAUGAAUCUACGCAAGUACUGGAAGACAUGGAAUCAUUGCAUCGCUUCACACCUAAAUAGUUUUGUUCCAGAAGUUCAUACCCAUCACAGCGUCAGUACACAGAAGAAGAAGAAAUAAAAGUCUCAUCGGUUCCUAAGGUUAUACUGACCUAGCACAAUGUCAAUGGUAACACAAAGGACACAUGCCUUGUUUAAGGAUCAGAUACUUAGCUAAGAAAUCUAUUGCUUCUUGGGCUUCUUAGGCAUGACAAAGUCACCGUCGUCGUCGUCGUCGUCUGUGUUGCUAGAUGCCUUCUUUCUCUUUUGUGUCGUGGUUUUUCCCUUUGUGGCUGAGUUGGUUUUGACAAAGUCGUCGUCCUCGUCGUCAUCUAUGUCGCUAGAUGCUCUCUUCUUUUGCGCUGUGGUUUUUCCCUUUGUACCUGAGUUGGUUUUCUUAUCGCCUAACAGCAGUAUCUUCUUGGUUAGAGAACUUGCCCUUCUCUGCGUGGAAGGCGUUUUGACCGGUGACCUCAGUUUCAGACCCUGUUUCUUCGCAAAGACCUCUGUAGCCACAUCAAGCGGUAGCAAACCCCAUUCCAUCAACCUAUACAUCCAAACGGUUACUUGCUUACACCAGAGGAAAUAUUAGUGUAUGCAUAAAAUGUAUAAACCAGACAUGAAUGAAUAACAAUUUCAACACACAAGCUACAAGUAAUUACUACCAGAAUGAAAUAUUAUGCUAGUGUAUGAUUCGGUCAGGACCGACUGGUAAGUGGAAAUCUAACUAAAAACAAGCAAGGUUUGUUAGUAAUUGAUGAUGAAAUAAGGUCACAUCUCUGACCCAUGGUGGCCCUCAGGUUUACCCAAGAAAAACGGACCUCGGCUGCAAGCAGAACUUGUUUCAUAACAACAAUGUAGAGGUACAAGGCAGAAGCAUACAACCUACACAAACAACACUCACACCACCAAGCUGCUUUAUAGAUCAACAGUAAUGUGUGCUAUAAAUGUUUUUAUAUGGGAUCUGCACCAGGCCACCAACCAGUUUUUGGAAAACACUACUAAGUCAUGAUUUUAUUAUCGUCGUAAGCAAAUAACCAUUCAGAUUCCAUGGCCGACCUUCAAUAUUUAACACCAUAAAUCAGUGAAGAUUAAAAAUUCUGGUGCCUUCAAGUUUUAACUGAACUUGGUUCACCUUUGAUAUUGCAUUAAUCUACCAGCAGCCGAUCAUAAUAGCUUCAUGUUAGUUCAGCAGUGCAAGACGCAAUGAUCACUUUAUUGUGUUCAGAAAUAGUUUAACAAUUUCAGAUUACUGAUGUUCCACAAACACAGAAUUGCAUUAUCAGUCGAGCACAGUGGUAUAAGUAACACUGGCUAUAUUGUAGUAAGUUCAGUAUUUAUCAAAUUUUAAGAACAUGUAUACAAAUACCAAUGUGUUUCGAUAUAUAUCUAGUUUCCCAGCUUCUAAAAGGAACUCUAACCCAUACCAAAAAAAUCCUUACCUCCCCAAAAAUUGCCACGAUUGGGAGUUAGACCCAUCUAACUCAUCCCCAGUACCCCUUCUAACUACCAAGAAAUUUUGGGAACUCCCAAAAAAACAGCUUGGGAGGUUUUGCUCCCUCCCAAUACUUUUUUUGGCAGGAGAAAGAUUCCUUCCCCAACCGUCACCUCCCGCCACCGCUAAAGUUGCCGCCGGCAACAACUCCGGUUAAGUCACCGGCUCUGGCAACACCGCAACAACAACUCUUACACAACCAGUACAACAUCAAAAGACCACAAUAGGUAGUUGCUUUGGCCAAACAGGAGGUGAAAGGAAAUGUAGCAUCUGCUUUUGCAUGGCAUAAGACAUUCAGGUUGUUUUAAGUACAAUAAUUCAAUUCUUACCUGAUUUGUGCUAAUACAAGGAACAGUCUGAAUCUUGUUUCUAAAAUCAACGAUCCAGACUAAUUAAGCUAGAAGAAAAUAUGCCCAAAGGAAAUCCUUACAGCCACUAGAAACAACAAUGCUUGCAUGAUAUAAUAUCGUCAAAAUAUCAAAAUUCAUUAUGCAUAGCAGGCAUGUCCAAUUAUUAAGGAGAAGCAAAGUGAAGCUCGAAAGAAAUCCUUACUGCUGGCGCCAGUAAUACACAAGUUCCCCAUAGCUUUUCCCUUGCUCUCCCCAGAAUUCCCAUGCAAUCGAAAUCAAUCAGCAAUCAUCAUGCCAUAAAUCAACAGUACAUAGUUAAGUCUCAGAUCAUACACUCAUACAGAGGUGAUCUCAACCUACUGACAAAAUAUAUUAAAGAUGGCAGCUUGUGACCUUUCGAGGGGGGCGGGGGCGAAGAGGCGAGGAGCACCUGCAUCAUAUAGACAAGGAAGAAUGAGGGGUCAGGUUGGGGAGGAUCUCGUCGAGCGCUGCCACUAUAAAAGCCAUCAUUAUAACUGAGUUAAAAAAAAACGCCUUCUGUUCGAUGGCUACAUCUAUUAAUGAGAGUUGUUCAAUCACUAUAGACACAUUUAACAUGUAGAUAGUGAUAUAAUAGUAAUUAACUUUGAUGAUCUAAUGCAAGCAUUCCCCUAGUGCAGAAGCAAGCCAACUGCAAGGUUCAUGGCGAACAAAUGGAAAUCAUUUCUACCAAUAUUAUGUUUUUAAUCUUUGUAACAAAAUAUACUACAGAAGAUAGCAGAAAAGGUGCAGUUAUGCUUUAUCAGACAUAUUACCUUUAGUCUCUAAAUAAUUCCUCUGUCUGGAAUAUAUUCAGAUCCACCUGAACAGAAAAAAGAAAAGGUACAAUGAUAAGAUAAUGAAACAUACUGCAUUUUUCUGUCUGUACUUGCAAAAUCGUGUCCCACCUCCCAUCUAUCCGAUCCUGCACAAAAGUAUGUCAUGGUCAUAUAGACGAUGAUAAGCAGUAAGUACAGUAUAAUACACAUAUGUACACUGCCUGAAAAAAUAAUCUGAACUGUCUAAUAUAGAACAGUGCAAGAUAAAGUGCCAAGUAAGCCUGAGAGGUGCAAUGGGCGGUGCCAGGUUGUGUGCACCCCUUCUCUGUUCUUUUUUGCAAGCUUGUGUUUGGUCUGCUUGUGUGAACAUCUCGCUACAUGGCGUCAUUUAUCAAUGGCAGUAAAGCUCAUGGGUCCGGUGCCUUUUAUGUAUGAAUGCAUAUCAAACAUGAAUAAGUUGGCCUUCCUUUAUGAAAGAGAAGUUGCCAUAAUGCAAAAACAUAUUAGCUUUGCUAAGUUAGAAAGUAUGAACCGUAUCCAAGCAAGUGUUACAUAAAAAAAUUAUUCCGAACCAGUAGAUGGCAGAAACAACUCAAACAUAGGAAAGCUAGCAAUCGUGCAGCAGAUGAUAUCCAUAGCAGUAGCAGCUGGCAAAGCCCUGAGACACCUCGUGGGAGAACACAACUUUGCGCCUGUAUAUUAGAUCCAAGCAAGUUAACAGGACACUAAGCAAGUUAGUGCUAGAAACUGUAAAGAAGCACAAUUGUGAGACCUGCUUAAGAAGUUUCUCUUCAGGAACUAUUUUACAUAAGCAGUUAUGGACAUCUCGAUCGAUACUCCACGGUAAAAAAUAUAUAUCUUGAUGCUCGUCAGAUGAAACAGAAGCUGGGAGCCAUGGAAGGAACUCUGCCAGUCUCAAAUGCACGGAUACUUCAACCGACCAGCGAAUAUGUAUCGGAUACCAUAUCCGAUACCGAUACGCCCCCGAUACGUAUCAUUGGAGUAUCCGAGAAUAAAUGAUUUAAAACAAUUACAAUACUCUAAGGAUACUUCGCCAGUACGUUUUGGAUACUUUUCCAGCCCAAGUAAGAGCCCGCUCAGCCUAGUUAAGAAGCAACCAGCAACUCUAGUACCCCGAUGCCCCCAUCCUUUCCCUCACAACGUUUUUCCUCCCUCCCAUGCUCACACCAGGUGGCGGCUGUGUCGCCAGCGGCUGCUCACCCAGGUCCCAGGGCCAGCAGCGGUGGAGGCUAGCCGGCGACGAGCUCCUCCUCCUACUCACCAACGUCCCCUCUCACGCAACAGCCAAGUAUGGACACUUCUCUUCUCCAUUUCUCCUGCCCAGCCAAGCUCAUCUCCUCUCCUUUCUUCUCUGAUCUCUGAAGAUCUGUCAUCCUCAUCUCCUCCAGAUUGCUUUAAGUACCUGCAACGUAUCCGUAUUGGCACUUUUUGAAAAUGACGAAUUUACGUAUCCGUAUUGGCCCGAUACUGAUACCCGUAUCCGUAUCAGUGCAUUCGAGCUGCCAGCAUAUUUACAGAAAUGUUGCAUAAGAACUGCCACACUAAAUCUGACUACUCUUCGUAUGACUUUUUGGGUAAGCAACGGGAAGACUUAGAAAAUCAGAUGAUCAGACACCAAUAGAUACGAAAUGCGAUUAGUCACCAGCACCAAGUAUCUGAAGUAAUCACAUCAUCAAAAUAUGAUUUUAUAGAAUGCAGACAUCACAACAGAUAGAUGACCAUGCAAAGCGCAUAAUCUAAAGAAAAAAUCUGCCACAUUUCUGAACUCCCAAUGGCCACAUAUUUCAAACUAACCUUUCUUAUGAUGGAAUGAAAUAACACAAAGAAAAUGCAACCGGCGACAUGGCACACAGAGUGAUCUCAGGUGCUUGUAUAGCUUGAUUGGGUUGCUGCUACCUCCAGACCCAUGCUGAAGGUUCUAUUUUCCAAAUUGUAUGCCUCUUUUCUUAGAAAAAAAAUCAUAUUCAAAUAUUUAUCCAACGAAUUUCUGAAAUUUGUAGGUUGUGACUUAAAACUAAUAGCUAGCUGACCCAGGAAUACAUAGAAACUAAGAUGUUUUGCAGAUACCUAGGGUUGAGUGCGUCAUCGUGGAUGGAGUGGCUGAUCUUCUCCUCAAGCUCAAUACAUCCACCAUCCCAGACCUUAAAGUUUCAGAAGAAACUCAUGCGACGAUCUCAAAUGAUUCCAGCAUGGACCCUCCAACCUUCAAAUGAGUUCACUGUUAAUGGGUGUAAAAGACCAGAUAAUAAACUAAAAUGCCGGGGCACCAUGCGUCACUAUACUGAUCUACAAAGCAUACAACUAAAAAAUAAAGAUUAAUCUGACUUUAUAAAGCACAAAUAAAGAACUCUUCAUGUAACAAUUUCAUGGUAUUAACCCAGUAAGGUUGUUCCAUGAAUUGUACACCACAUACUUCUGGAUCAGAUUUCAUUUUUACUGCUGUUUAUAGAAAGUGAAAAACAACACCACAUACUUACAAUAUGCAUGGGUUCCAGUUAUCAUUUAUUUGGGUUGAAAAUUAAGAGCAUCUUGCUAUCAGAAUAAAAGGGAGAUGCACUUCUAUAGUACCAAGAACAAAACAUAGGAUUGUUCUAGAAUACAAUAUCAGAACAAGUAUCAGUCUACCAUUUAGAGAGAAAAAUCAAGAAGUAAAAUCCCAGUACAUGGAACUUACCAGGGAGGAGUCGCUUCAGAUUUGUCGCUCUGACUUCUCGUCACACUAUCAAUAAUAAAAUAGGAAAAGGUCUACACAAACAGACAAAACAUAAUGAUAUGCCACAAAAAUCUAACCUAUCUUGUGAACAAUGAAACAAUCACAAAAAUGAAUUAAAAAGAAAGAAAAGGAGCCUCACCUCAUGAUCACGGCCGAGCAAUCACUACACCAACAACACCUCGAUAUUGCCCGUCGUCAGGUAGUUGGCCCACUCUAAUGCCCCAGAACGACCAACACGAUCCACAAGAACCCUACAAAAUCAACAAGUUCAAGGAUGAGGGAAAGAUAAAGCUAAAAUCCUCAGUUAAGGCAUCAAGUGGUAGCUCGCUUAGUAGCUAUCAUUCCUGUAAAGAGCAAGCACAUGGCCAAUGAAAUCUAUAGUAUCAUCACUCAAUUCAUGUUUCCUAGAAACAAAUAACAAAGAACAAAUAAGAUUACUUGCAAUGCAGGAGGUAACCCUUACAUUUUUAAUGGAACAUGCAGAAUAGUACAUGAUACUAAAAGAAAAUGUUCUGCAACUCUAUCGAUUUUCUCAAAAGAGAGUAAAUUAUUAAGCCAAUCCCUACUUCUGAAAAAAUGAAAAAGAACCGGUGUAAUUCUGAAGAUGCAUGUGCAAUUAGAACAAGCAUGUAUUCUUCACUAAGAAUGAGAUUUACAGUUGGCGCAGCACUUGUCAACUGUGGCUCGGAUAGAACUGCAAUCAAGACGCAGGGGAGAAGUGGCAGUCAGAAUUUUGCAUCUACCUAUUGUUGGAUUCAUUGGAAGAACAAGGAGAAACUCACUGAAAGGGGACUGACCGGGAAGCAGAUUGGGCACUCAUUGAGGUCGGGCCUGGGGUCGUUCGACCUCGAGGAUGAGCCGGCGCAGCUUCUUGAGGUCGACGUCUGGGUGCGGGUAGAGCCCCUGCCGCUCCGUGUUUUAUAGGAUGAACGCGGGAUUCACACCCUAAUCAGCGAGGAAAAUCACACAAAGCCAUGAACGUGCUUGCUCUAUCAAUAUCCAAAAGUAACAGUACAUUUGGACGGGAAACGAGAAAGCAUGAAAUGCAAAUCAACAAGCAUCCCAACAUGGCUCGUGUGCCGCACAAGAUCGAGCUCAAGAGUACCUGACGACCUUGACUCGAUUCGGCUGUCCCUUGGCCUACCCUCUGAACAAUCCCCUGUUGUGCUCCUCUCGUCCCCGAGAGCAACCUCCACCCCUGCUCCUCACGUGGCGGCGAUGGAGGUCGCCUCCCCGAGCCAGGGCCUACUUCAGCACGUCGAUUCCAUCCUUUUCCCCGCACCCAGCUAUAUAAUCACUAGCCUGAAUCCAAAACCGCAGUUCAUGCCCAAUCCAUCAUUCUAUUUAAUCACUAGCACUACAGUAUGCACGAUGAAGAGGAUAUUCAACCAAAUCUACAUCACCCCAAACUAAUCAUCACAUAUUUCAUCAUGAUUCUGAAUGCACUGCGGCUGGCAAACAUUGCCGAAUCCAGCAUUCUAUAUAAUUGCUAGUCUGAAUCCAAAACAACAGUUCAUGCUCAAUCCAGCGUUCUAUACAAACACUAACACUGCAGUAUGCAAAACGAAGAGGAUGUCCGACCGAAACUACAUCACCUAGAAUUAAUCACCACAUAUUUCAUCACGAUUCAGAAUCCAUGAGAAUAAGAAAACUAUACUACACCAACCAAAACACAGGCCAGUGCAUACUAAAACAAACUUAACAGAUCAAUCCUGUGUUCUCCCUCUAAAUCACUAGAUCCAGUCACAAAAAUAAUACAUCUACAUACCUCGUAGCCCAGCCGCUGGUAGUUUCAGAUCACACUUGGACCCCGCCGAAUCCAGGGGAAAUCCCUUGGUUUGUCCGGCGCUGGCUGGAUCUCCCUCACGACAUAUUUCCGGCUCUGCGAGGUAAGCCUGCAACUCCCCGGGCCUGACCACCCGCCUCUCAUUUCUUAGACACCCGCCGCCCUGCUCGAAAUCACCACGAUCCCAGGUCCUCGUCAUGGCCUCCGCCGCCGUGCAUCCUCUCCAAGUGCUCCUGGACGACGCCGUCGAGGAUGCCGUACACGGUGUUGCAGCACUCCUGAGCACGGCGCACGACGCUGCUGAGCCGCGCGGCGAGCCACGGCAAAGGCCACAGGUCUCCGGGUGGGGAAGAGCAGCGCCACGCCUAGGCGGCAGUGGUGGCGGCGGCGGGGGGAGGGCACCGGUGGUGGCGGCGGCGAGAGACGAGGGAAAGGGAGAGGGAGAGAAAUCGGGGGAUGGGGAUUGGGGGCUGGGCCACUGGCCAAUCUCUUUCUCUCUUUCUUCUCGAUGAAGCAAAACUGUUUGUCUGCUAGCUAAUCCUACGUGGACAUCGCCAGCGAUCGCUCCUUACGCGACUGUUAUUGAGUUAAAUGCGCAUGCAUGGUGGCAGGUCUACCUGAUGACCGACCAACAAGCCCGCUAUGUCGUGGUCCAGGAUCCAAUUGGUGCCGAGUCACAGUCGCGGCAGACUCACCUAGCUAGCUAGAAAAGGGAGACGCCGACGCCGACGCCGGCCACACCUAGCUCAGCUACUGCUCCGGAGCGCCUCCCCGCCCCGUUCCAAGCCCCAAGCCGCCAUGGCCGGCGCCGACGCCGCCGGCCAGUUCCAGAAGGUCAGGAUCCAGCGCGAGGACACGGUGAGCAACUCCUCAGACCAUCCAUCGUUCAUGAAAACUGAAACUUUUUAUGGAUAGGAUUGAUUUCGUUGCUCUGAUCUAUACGCUUGUGCACCCAGCAGUGACAUUAUCUUGGAUUCUUGGUGCUUUUGCUCCGUAUCUGUGCUAACUUAUACUACUAAAUCGGCGACACUUAUUUUGUGACGGAGGGAGGGAGUACAUCUUACUGCUAAACUGGUGCGACGCUGUACAUCUGCAGGCCUUCGAUGCCUAUGUCGUCGGCAAACAAAAUGCCCCUGGAGUUGUAGUGUUGCAAGAGUGGUGGGGGCUCAACAACCAGGUCAAGAACCAUGCCAUCCACAUCUCCCAGCUCGGCGAUGGAUACACAGCACUUAUUCCAGAGUACGGCGAUUUAUCAUUUACUAUCUUCAUUCUGCUCCUUUCGGUGCACCAUUUGCUAACAAGACGGAGUGCUAUACAACUGAUGCUUCACAAAGUGCCGGUGCUUUCUCAGUUUGUACCGUGGGAAGGUCGCUUUGGAUGCUGCCGAGGCUCGGCAUCUGAUGGAAGGGCUUGACUGGAAGGGCGCAAUCAGGGAUAUUCAGGCUUCAGUUCAAUGGCUGAAGAAGAAUGGAUCACCCAAGGUAGGUUCUUUUUUUUAACCCUUGUUUAUGUUUCAAGAUUUUCUCUGUCAAUUUUAGUUAUUCGAAUUUUAAUAUAGUAAAAUGGUUGUGCACAUCAUUUUGAUGCAGAGGACCAGGGGUUCAACCUGCUUCUUCUCGAAAGGAAAAAUUAUUAUUAUUAUUAUUAUUUCAAUUGUAUUAUUCUGGGUGACACGCAACUCAUUUGCCAUUAUUAUUAUUAUUAUUAUUUCAAUUGUAUUAUUCUGGGUGACACGCAACUCAUUUGCCUUUUGGUAGAUUUGUGGUAAUACCGCCAUUCAGCAGAAUCUAAUACUCCCUCCAUUCAGCAAAAUCUAAUACUCUCUUCUUCUUAACUAGUUAGCAUGCACGUGCAACGCACGGAUUUUUUAAAGGGAUAAUACAUGUUCAUCCUAGUUAAUAGAUAAACAUUAAAAUAAAAAAAUAGUGACGCACUACUUAUAAAUAUUACACAUCCAAUAGCUGAUAAUAAUGUACUAAUAAUGAACUAACAUUUUUCAUUUAGCGGAAGAAUAUUGAAUUUAUUUGUUGUAUUGAAGGGAGGAUAUUUUUUUUAACACGGGAGGAUAUUUCCUUUGCGGAGAGGAGUAACUAACCUAUGCAAACUUCUGAUGCAAAAAGUAUAUAUUAAAAAUUUCCAACAACUGAAAAAGCUGGACAGUGAUAAUAAAAAAAUGUAUUGUUAUUGUUGCAAGCAUAUGACUCAUCGUGAAAUAAAGAAAUAGGAACAUCGUGCGUUCGAUUUUCCCAAAGAACAGAAAUAUGAAUGUUUUAAUAAAACUAUAUUUUCUAAAUUUACAUAUAGAUGUUCUGUUUGUUUAUAAAAUAUCCAUUAAAAAUGGAAAAAUAAUUAGGCUAUGUUGUUGUCUUUGAUUCAUCCAGUUUUCCAUGGAAACAAAGCACUCAAGAGGAUCAAAAAGGCCAAAGCUGUCGUCUUCUUUUUUCUGCCGAGCGACACAACCUGCACAGGCCCUGGGACCUGGGUAUCUCUUGGUUGCUUUUAGGAAAAAUAUUCCAAACUUUUAUGCUCGGCUUCAACUUCUGAAGGAUCCUGACAAAAAAAAAGAGGAGUUACGUCGCUAACAUGACCAUUCUAAGGAAUCUGUGUCAAAUAUUAGUAUUAGAGGUGAGAUUAGGUUUUCCCCUAAAACAUGAGAUUAUGAUUGAUGGGUCAAAUAAUGUCAAACUUUUAGGAGAAAUUAAGGAGAGAAGAUGUCACAUCAAGUUUGUAGUGAUGUAGUGCCACCACGAAAUCUUCUGCAGCAGAAUAUCUAACAAAGGAUCAGUGCACAACAGCUCGCAUCAAAAGUUCAGGGCACAACCCACUAUUCAGUACAAAACACGCAGACACAACACAGACGCCGCCGUCGUCAACCUCCGGCCACGCACGCUCUCCUUUGUCUGCACCCGCGUUCUCCUCAAGCAACAGUCGCAUUGCCUCCUCAAGCCCCGUUCAGCGUCGUCCGCGCUUGCCCUCCUCAAGCUCCGGUCCGCAUGGCCCGUACUCGUCCUCCGCAACGGCCGGCCGGCACGGGCCCUUUGCUAGAAGGAGGAGGAGAGAGGGCACGAGCAGAGAAGGGGACUCACUGGCCUCUCGCUCAGGCCACGGCGCGCCCCUCUGGCCGCCGGCCACUCGCGCCCAUGCUGAGCCAACUCCCUUACCUCGCAUCCAGCAUCUACCCGGCGAGCCUCUCUUCACCUGGUCAAACACCCCGCUCGCCGCCCCGAGGCUGCGGCUGACACCCCAUAUCACCCGCAUGGCGAGCAACUGGCCACAUGUGGCCGUGGCAACGACAUCUAACGUGUCGCCCAUGCCGCCGAAAUCCAGCGGCACCGAAAGCAGCGCGUAGGUGGCGGUCUGCUUGAGCGGCCGCUCGGUCUCGUCCCGAUUGCGCCCGACGGUGACCCGGCCCUCCGCGUGACGAUUGCGGCGAUGUCGGCCAGUCGCACGCACACGCCGCCCCGCUCCAGCGCGGAUUCCGCCUCCAGCCGCAGGUCCUUCGCCUCUGGGAUCGGUGAAGGUGUGGUGUGGAGGCCUGCUCACAGAAGAAAAUCGUUGACGUGAUUUCAGGAACUCCUUGGAUUGGGGGGCGGAAAUCGUUGACGUGAUUUCAGGAAUCGUUGGAUUGGGGGCGGGUGGUGGAGUACGGUCAGUCAUUCAAAAUUACUAAGUGCACACCGUAAAACUAUUAGAUGAAUGAUGGUCGUUAGAUUCAGAUUUGUGGGACUAAUCGUACGGUGGUGAAUGGGUCCUUCGGUGUUCUGGGUGUAAUUACGGGGUACACUUAAGAAAGUUUCUGUUGGAUUGUUUAAUAGUAGUGGAGAUCAAUGAAAAUGAUAAAUCUUUUGCCUCGUUUUAAAAUAAAGCUUAAAAUUCUGACACUUAUUAUGGAUCGGACGAAGUAGUAUGUAAGUAGCCAUUUUAUUUGUUUGUUGCACAAAUCUUGUUGUGUACUUUUGACAGUUAACUAAAUAAGUAAGCUAUGCCCCUCAGUGAUGUCUAAGAUCGUGUCUUCUAGAAAUAAUUUGACUUUUCUCCACUGCAUGUGUACAAGUGAAAUUUUUCAUGAGAAAAGCAUUAAAGGAUCAAUUUAGGUUCAUGGAGGUAAUGCAAUCGCAACACAUACCAUGUUUAUGUUAUGUUGCAAAUUAAACAACACCUAAGUAAUGAUUGACAUACAUUUUUUCCCUAAAUAUGUAUUUUGUUUAGGUUGGUGUUACUGGUUAUUGCAUGGGAGGUGCUUUGGCAAUUGCGAGUGGAGUUUUGGUACCGGAGGUUGAUGCUGUUGUUGCUUUCUACGGGACACCAUCCUCGGAGCUUGCUGAUCCUUCCAGGGCUCUAGCUCCAAUCCAGGCUCAUUUUGGAGAGCUCGACACCUAUGUCGGGUUUGCUGAUGUGACCGUAAGACCUUUUACGUACCCCAGACUCGGUCUUGUUAAAUAAGACAAUAUUGAGGAUUAUUUGCUUUCCAUAGGGAGUUAGAAACUGGAAAAUAGUUUGCUAACUCAAACGUUAUGUGCAUAUACUUAUUAGUGUUGGAUAACAAAAUUAAUAGUAUUCUUAAUAGAAAUACAAAUAGAAAACAUUGUUACCGUGAUGUUUUAGGCGGCCAAGUCGUUGGAGGAGAAGCUCAAGUCUUGUGGGGUAGCACAUGAAGUGCACAUAUACCCUGGAUGCUCUCAUGCCUUCAUGAACACAUCACCUGAGGCUCUCAAGAAUCAGGGAGCCAUUGACCUGGCAUGGUCCUGCUUUGCUACAUGGAUGGGUCGUUUCCUGUGAUCUGUAUCGGAGCCAUCACCACACUGUAUGAACCUGAGGUGUAUAUGGACUCAGAGUCACGAUGAUUAAUGAGAAUAAGAUGUUCGGUACGUGCGUACAACAUGCAGUCAUUGUCCAAUCCAGACAAGUUUGCUUGUGUUAGCGAUAUGAACUCGUCAUGGUUAUGUUUUGUGAAUGGUGAGCUAAUUUGGUGUGCAUUUCUCCAUUUACAUCGAAUUGUCGAGAGUUUCUUGGUUUUCACUUUUUCUUGGAAAGGCAUUUUUAUCGUGAAUGCUUGCUCUUUUCCAAAAGUAUAUUAUUUUUUUGUCGUGUUUUCGGAUCCGGCUUUCACUCUUCUUUACAAAGCAUUUUGGAUCGUGAAUACUUGAAAAUAUAUACCAAAAAUUACGUAACACAAAUAAUUCCAGAAAAGGUAUUGAUGAUGCUGAUUUUCCUCCUAUGAACCUGGUGAAAGUUUAAACCAUACAACUUUUGUGUGCACUAUGUUUUUAAAGUUGGAACAAAUCUCUGUACACUAUUUUUUAGAGGGAAUUCCUUUUUUUUUAUCCCCAAGGUUCCCGUUAGUGACGGAUGUUACCCGAUUUAGCGAAAAUUCUAAAUUUAUGCUGUUCAGUUUUUUUUCUCUCCAAUUUUACUGCGGAUUUGUGCAUACCAUGUAGGCGGUUUAUUUUUCUCUCUUCAGUUUUUCUAUAUCUACUGGAUCCCAGGUGCAGAGAACACUCGGCUCAGCUCAGUUCAGAGCGUCCAAAAUUCUUUUUGUUUUCACCGGACCGGCCCCGGCGAACCGAAUCCCGAGGCUCCCCUUCGUGGGCCGGCGGUCGACGACGAGAUCUUUCCCGGUUCCCGGAGGCGCGAAAGCGGCGGCCGGUUUCCUCCGCUGUGCUACUACCUGCACAGCUGCACUGCCGAGCACGCGCUCGCUCGAUCUCUCCGCGUUGUCGCGCACGUCGGCAGGUCGGCAACCAGAGCCAAAGGGCCUGCCUAUAUCCGACAGCUGAACGUGCACGGCGAGGCGCCAUGAAUCAUCGGCGUCCCCUGCGUGGCACCCAGCUUGCUUUAGCUCGUGUGCACGCACGCGGCAUCCGGAGAUGCAUUCGUCCGCGGAACAGCGAUUUGUGAGUUGUGACGACGUACGUGAUUGAUUGGUGUGUAUGCAUCAACAGAGAAGACAAGGGAAAUAUAUAUAGCUCGAUCGUGAUGAGGAGGGCAAGCUCGCAUCGGAAAGCUACAUGCCGUCCGUCCGGCCAGCAAAUGUGAAAUGUCUGUCUCCGCGCGCUGAUUGCUGCCUGCUGCAGUCUUAUUAUCGAGAUGAAAUGUUCUUUCAGCGAAAGGUGACGUUCCCUCGACACGACAGCGAGGUGCAUAUGCAGUUUUCCGUCGGUCGAUCUGACGUACGCAUCGUGCCGCUUAGAAAAAAUCUUUACAAAAAGGAUGGUGCAUAUGCAACAAUUACGUAACAUGUCAGAAAUGGCGGCUGAAUCGAUAAGUAAGUUGCAUUUUUAAAGGAAAAUUAUUGACGAUGGCCAUAUGGUGUGGUGUGUCCGUGGGGUGUGUGGACAGAGUAACACACGUCGGCGUCGCCGUUUCACAGCCUCCGUUCUCUCUCUUUUUUUUCUUCAGGCAGGCGUGUGAAAGCGGCGAGGAAUGUGUGUGUAGUUUGGUUCCAUCGAGUGACUACGAAAGAAUUUGUCUGCCGAACAAAACAAAUUUUGAGGCAAUUUCCAAGCCAUUUAAUUUAGCGUACAACAAAAACGUCAACAUCCAUUUCUUUGGUCAGGCGCACUAUCGACCUGAUCAGCAUGAGCCAGAGUUUAUUUAGAGCAUAAAAUAGGGGGGUAAGUGCGCUUUGGCUCAUUUUAAUUAACAUCUUCUUCUUCUUUUUCUUGCUUGGUUGAUUCAUUCGUCCAUUCCUAGGUUGGGUGUAUCAUCAGAUCAAAAUAACAAAAAGUUGUACACUGAAUCAAACUACACCAAGGUUUCUGAAGAAGCAGAAAGAACGUGCAACCACGAAGAACUCAGAACAAGGUUCUUUCUUGUGCACAAGAAGUGCAAACUACUACAAGAAAAAGGCAGGGGAACAAGCAUGAGUGUAGAAUCUUUCUGCAUUUAUACGUAUCAUCGACCAGCCGUGCUCGCUUGCUUGCUUAUCGUAAGUAAAUCUCAGCUAAUUACGUUUCUAUUUAUUACAAAGGAUUGAGCAAUGAUGGAAGAACCAGAACCAGAGCAGAGCAGGGUGAGAGAGAGUGAGAGGGAAGGAGACCUUUUUUACUUGGGCAUCAUCGAUCUUCCACAGUACUCGCCGCCGGUCGACGGUCAAGCCUCGGCCAUCGCCCGGCCGCCCGGCGCGCGACCACUCCACGAACGAACGGCCGGAGAUGGCUCAUCUGGCUGGCUGGCUAUGGCUAGCAGCGGUAGACGACGUAGUUGUUGCGGCGGGGCUUGGGCAUGUGGCAGAGCAUGACGAGCACCAGGGCGAUCAGCAUGGCCAGCAGGAACCCCUUGGGGUCCAGCCCCACGCCGCCAUCGCCGCCGCCGCCGUCGUCGUCGCUGCCGCAGCCGCAGCCGAUGCAGCAGCAAGAUCCCGACCCCAUGGCGGCGACUGGCACCGGGGGAUAGUGGUGAGGUGAUUCUCUGAAUCUUAUUGAGAUGUGUGUGCCUCUUCUGUUGCUUGGACUGUGGAGAAAGGGGAGAAGAGGGGCGGAGGCAGAGCACUUGUUGUUUACUAGCAGCAGCACUGACACCCAGGCGCACGGGUCCAACACGGCUAUCUAGCUGGGCGGGCGGCUGGGCCGGUCCGAGGACGGCAGUCGGCAGGCGUAUGGACACCGGGGCCCACAUGUCAGGUGCUAGAUGUAGAAUAAAAAGCAGAGUUUCAGUGUUUCACUACACUCCAUGCUGCAACUUGCUGGCGUUGGAAAAGAAAAAAGGAAGGUUGCCACCACAUUCCUGUUGCAAUUUUGCAAGUGCUCAUGUAUAAAUAAUUUCUUUUUUCCAGGUUUUUUUACUGUGUUGUUGGUGGGAUGUCACUGUCUGGAAAAGCAUUGUAAUUCCACUUCAGACGUGGUUUCGGACAAAACUUCAGAGUGGCACCACCAGUUUGACCGAAAGCAACUGGUAUCAACCAAAUGAUUUUAAUGAAGACUUAUAAAAUGCACCGCAAACCAAAUUUCAGGCCAUGCUGUACCAGGAAACCAAAAUCGGUAAAAACUUUCAGAACAAACGUACCCCAGAAAUGUGAAUGAAACAAGCAUCAAACCGAAACAGACAGUAUAUUUUCGGUGAAAUUCAUUCGGGCUAUGUUCAGAACUACGUACGUGGUGAGAAAACCGAACAGAAGGUGACCAGAACAAAUAGCAGAACAAAUAUACACCGUUGCAACACUAUUGUGCAGUGUCUGCAAAGCAUCUACUACUGCUGUGCUGGGGCAAACAAAACCAGUGGUAUGACAACACAUCCCUACAAUCCCCUUGAUGCUGCUACUCACUCAGGGUAACAAAGAAAAUUUGCUCAACAUAUGCGACCGGGUACUAACUGUCGACGCCGAGGAACUCUGUGAAGCUUGGGUAUUGGGGCUCCCACCCGAUAUCGGCCCGGGUUUUGGAAUUCUCCAUCCUCUUCCCCAACGGACCGCCGGUACCUGAAGAGAAGGUGGAUUCAAGAUUAUUACCACAAGAAGAGUGAUGUAUGCGCACCGAAACACUUCACACGCUGGAGCAGGAAGGAAACUAACCAGUGAAACCUUGGAAUUCCGUGUCGAACUUCCCACUUUUGUUAACAGCGUCCAUUAUUUCUUGCCUGCAAAGUUCAAAUUUAUGCAUUUUAAUUGAAAUAACGAGUUGCCCGUUCAGCUAUCAGUAGAGCCAUGGCACACCGACAGAAACGAGCUAGAUGAAUACCAGUUGAUGUAAAGAAGCAGCUUAGCACUAACCUGGAAAGAGGCUUAUUGUCACAGCCCAAAAAUAUACGAGCCCGAGGUCUCUUUUUCAUUAUGGCAAUUGCAAGGGAUGCCGCAUCCUGAGAAUAUAUAAGAUAACAUUACAUUACAACUCACAUGAUGCUGAUUGAUGUGACAUAUUUUGCUUAAUAAAUCAAUAAAGUUGUUUCUGUUUGUUUGAUCUGACGCACUUCGCUUAAUAAAACAAUAAAGUAGGAUCGUUUGCUAUGAUAAGACUGAAUUUUUUUUAUAUAGAAGGAUGAAUCUGGGGUAAAUUUCUAUGCUCAUUUAACCUCAUAAUGGAUCUGAUUGAUAAUAUGAUCUGGUCGCGAGUCCAGUGUUCCCUUCCUCAACCAGAAAUAAUGAGCACCCCUAUCUAUUUUGUGUGUCUAAGUCAAGGAAAUACGGUAUGAGUUAUAUUCAUCUUAUAUUGUAUAAAAGCUCUGUGUUCAUGCUUGCAAUUUUAAACAGCCAAUAUGUAUAGGUGGAGGAUAUAUAAAGUCCUGCUAGCCUGAGAACACAGCCUCCUGCCUCCAGGACAACAUUUUCUGCUCUAAGAAGAACAUCAGUACGAGGACCCCUGCCCACUGGAAUAGAUGGACAAUCCUGCACAACGAAGAGAAAAGGCAUGGUAAAAACAAUUAAAAUAAAAUUCAGAAAAUAUUAGGAGCUACUUGUGUGUUUCUAGGUAAGAAAUGCUUCAACUGCAAAAAUAAAAUAAGAAGUGCUUGUACGCCCAAACUAUAACAAAUCUGAAGUUGCAUACUAUAUUAGACGUGUAAAUUUCUCUUUUCAUUUAGCGGAGCUUUUAUCACCCAAAAGAGCAACAAUUGGUAGACACCUAUGAUCUAUGCAGAAUAUGCAGUCUAGCAGUAAUACCUCAUUGCACAAUCUGUUGUCACUACAGUCAUAAAGAGCAGUACUCGACGUAAACAGGAAAGAACCUUCUCCGUUCCAAUUUGAGGCAGCCACUCUGCAUGCAUUUUCUGAAAUGAGGAUACAUCACAUGCCCAUGAUAUGCAAUUUGUUUAGCAUAAGAUAGAUGCACACCGCACAGUAUCACAGCGAAACUAGUCUAGUUACUUUCUACCAGUUCAUUGAGAUGCAGAACUUUGCAUUUUUCCUAUAAAGCUAGUGUAAUUCAUUAACAAUGGAAAAAAAUCCUACUAACCAAAUUGAUGAUGCACAGGGGUGUGUUGACAUCAGAAAAAAGGUUGGUGGCACCCAUCUGCAUAUAAUACUAGUAAUAACAGAUCCUUACAGAAAAACUGUCCAAUAGUCCAUCGAACAGUUUUUGGUAAAUCAUAAAAUCUUAGCCCUGGUGGAGUUAGUUGUUCCAAGCACAGUGCACUCUAAAAUGCAGUACUUAACUAAAAAAAUGACAAUAUGAAGUCCCAUAGCAGUAUGUACAGUUGUACACACGUAGCUGUAUUAGAAUCAAGAUAAGAUCACCUAAUUUAUUUACAAAUACCAAAAGACCAGAAAGUCCUGGAUCAACCAUGUUACACCACACAUUUCCCUCUGCUAAUACUGACAUUGCCAAUAUUAAAUCUGACACAUCCAUUACUACAGAUUAAAUUGCACUUCUACAGCGACCAUCUCCAUAAUAUCUGACCAGUCAUCGUCUCAGAUUGUCUACCAGCUUGAUUCAAUUUUCGUGCCACAAUCGCGGACCAUACUUUCACUAUGAUACAUACAUAAAACAUCAAUGUCAAUGUGUUCAUCUUAACCAACGUUCACUAUGGUUCAUGUGCCCUAAGGUUCAUAUCAGCAAUUAAACUUCCAUACUUCAAAAAAUUCAGCUUCCACACGGAUGUGAGAUCUCAGUCCAAACAGCACAGACAUCAAGCAGUGACCACAAACUGGAGAUUGGUACCAAUUCUACUGCAUGGAGCCAUCAUUACAAUCACACUCGCUUACCUCAAAUCGCCGGGGUAAUCAUCAGAACGGGAUGGAGGAGCGCAGAAAAUAACAUAUGGAGCCUUUUGAGAGAUAGUGGAUCCCUUCAAGGAGGGAAUGAUGCCAAUAUUGGUUAGCUCGCUGUGAUGGUCUGUGCUUGCGGUCUGGCCAUAAACUUUGCAUCCUGGGUGUUCCUAUAGAAGACGAGGUUGAGUACUUAAUUAGCCGAGACAUGAUUAUGUUUAACAGGUUGAUGUCAGAAAGUGGUUCUUUAGCCACGGGUAUCCAUACCUUUAGCCACUUCUCGGCUACCAGUCGCCCAAGCACACCUGGGCCGAUGAUGAGUAAGUCGUUCUGGGUAACAAUGUCGGCACCGGGCAUCGCGAACCCUGUAUCUUGGGAUACCCCUAGCAGCAACAAAGAAGGAAAUGUUAAAGGUCACUUAGUUGCACGCAUCGCUGUGGAAAGAAUUCGACAUUUGGAGAUAAAGAGGACCAACCUAGAGCCUCCAUCGGUCAUAUAUAUAACUUUCAGCACAUAGUAACUAGAUAACUUAAUUUACCAGGUACUGAAAUCCGUUACCCUUUGAUAAAUCGUUCAUUCCACCAUGACUGAAGGCCAUAAAUUGCCACAUAGAUGUCAGGUGAAGUAGCUACUAGCUAAUGUCAAUCGGCGCUUCCGUCCAUCGUUAUAUGAUGAGACAAGCAGAAUGCGCGACCUCGGAACCCAACUAGUAUAAACUAGUUGAUUUCAAUGGGAUAAAAAUGGGCAUAGUGAUAGUUAUAACACUUGUAAUUUGGAACUGACAGGGAAUGGAUUUCAGAACUGGACACAGCAGCUCAACAGUGUAACUGGAGCGGAGUUGGAAGCGGAUUGCUAUCCAAUGGCACGAGCGAGCGAGUUAAUGGAAGGCGGGCAGCGCAAGGAACAGAAAGGGGCAAAAGACAAGGGUCGGCCAGAGAGUUACCGAGGGCGGCGGCGGCGACAGGCGCGCGGCGGGCGAGCGAGAGGAUCCGAGCUGGACGGCCGGCGGUCGGGGUGAGGGGCCUCACGGAGGAGGGGCGGGAUGAGGGGAGACGGAGGGUUGGGGUCCGGGUGGGAACCAGGGCGGCGGCGACGGCGACGUCCAUAUUGUCGUCGGCCGUCGUCGAGAGCUGGGAUGGGGAUGGACAUUGGAUCGGGGUUGACGAGGAUAAUGGUGGCGACUUUGGGUUGGGCCGGGCCGACUUUGAACCAGGGCCCGGUAUGACGUACAGACAGACAAUUGAAACCCAUUCGACCAGGUCUCAAAAAAAAUUCGACCAUGUCAAUUGAACUGACUGCGUAAAAAAAAGUUGAACUGACUGCCUAUACAUGUACAAUUUUCUCCAAAAAAAAAUGAUGAUGAUAAUAUACACUUACAGAAGGACGAGGUCACCUUUUUAGAAAUAUAAGUCUUUUUAGAAAUUUCGAUAUGAACUAUAUACGGAGUAAAAUGAGUGAAUCUACACUCUACCAUGUUUUACACACAUGCCAUGGACUGGUUGCAUUGAUAGGUGCAAGUAUACAAACACAAAAACUAAGCUAGCUGCUUGACAGCAUUUCAUCAUCAGCACUAAGGAAACAAACAGCUACAUACUGCUACCCCGACUCCUAUAACUCCCAUAGGAGUUGGGGGUACCACCCUUCUCCGUUCCCAUCCAUCAUCUCUACCGUGCUAGAAGGGAUUUGCGCGGUUCAAGAUGAAGCAGCCGUCAAUCAAUCCGUCCUCUGUCGACUGUCGUGCCACGCAACAUGCUUCCCUUCCCUCUGACUUGGAUUCUGCCGGCCGUUCCUUCUCACUAGACAAUCUUUCCUGACAUAUGUGUUUUCCACCUUCAGAAGAGCACGGAACCGCCCACAACAAGUCACUUGAGAGUUGAGUAGUACAUAGUCAUAUUCAAAGUUUCAAAUGCUCCAGUCUAAGGAUGGCUACUUCAGCUUCUUGCUCAAACAUUGAUGGGCUGACACAAGCAACUGAGAUAAAGCAAAACAGCUUGAGACCCGUCUUGCUUGCCUUCGCCCGAGGAAUCACCUGCAGGGAUCGAUCGCUUCCUACUCGAAUUUCGGCCGCUACAACAGAGAGCAGCGACGCUCACCGUCUUGAUCAUCACCGCCGUGCUCGAGACACGGGAGAGCCACAUGAGACUCCACGCGGCUCGAGGGGAAGCAAACGUGUGCCCAUCCAUCCUCUGCGUGCUGCCGGACAUGCUUCUUUCAGCUCAGAUUCUGCUCUUCAUUUUUGCAAAAUAUUCCAAAAAGAUCACAAAACCGCGACAAAUCACCUGCAAAGAAACAAAACAAAAGCUUAGGUACAUAAGCUGGGAAAUCUUCAGGUGACAACAUACACAAGUGUCCCCCCUGAGGUUGCUAGAGACCAGGGACCUUCUAAAUUCUACUACCUCUGUUUCUAAAUGUAAGACGUUUUGGCAGUUCAAACGGAGAAUUUUGAACUGCAAAAACGUCUUGCAUUUAGAAACAGAGGGUGCCUAGUAUUAAUAGCCCCCUUGAUCUAAUGGGUCAUGCUCAAAACUCCAUAGUUUACUUUAGUCAAACAACUACUCCCAACAUACAUCCCCGACCAACAUCUCUUUAAUCUGAUGCUUAAUUAACCCUAACUUUAGUAAAAUAACUACUCCCAACCAACAUCUCUUUGAUCUGAUGCUUAACUAACCCCCAACGUUUCUUAAAAAAGCAACAGAAAAAUCAUCCAGCCCCGGUGUUGAACUAGUUUUCAAACUCCUUAUAACAUGUCGAUCUCAUAUAAUGAAUGAGGUUGGAGCAGUAAAUCCUAAAUAGUUAAAUAGGCGAUCCCUACUAAUCUAUUUCUCUCAACAUGCAAACAUGCAUGUGAAAAGAUUUUCCAUUCUUCUAUGCUACUUGUGUCCAAUAAAUAUUUUACAAAACUACACAAUAAUCAAAUACAACAAAUCAUUUGUAUUUUCAGUUUUGAUACUGAUAUUAUUAAGCCAAAUACUCAUGUUACAAUCAAACAUCAUUGAAACAUAUUGCAACCAGUACCCGCAUCAAUGUGCGGGGUAUCAUCCAGUUAUUAUCAAUGUGAGACAUAAUUGGAACAGGCAGCCAGGCUCCCCCUUUUCUUCAUUUAUGCACUCAUUUCUUGUGAUAUCUUCACCUUCCGUGCAACAGUAAAUGAGUUGAACACCUCAUCGCCCGCGUGAUGGUGCACGGCCAGCACUUGGAACCCGCCACGCCCGAUAUCGUCCAGCUCCACUACAGGAUACAGGAACGCUCGCGCCCCGUGCGCGCUUCGCGCGACGAGCACCGCCCCAUCUGCCAUGUGCUUCCCCAAGUGCGCUAUGGCGCCGGCCUUCUCCUCAGACGUCAUUCCCACGAGCGCCGCCAGGAAGACCACAUAAUACGCGCCGAGCUCGGACGUGAGGUCUGCGACUUCGGUCGUGUGGAACACCAUGCGCGAUUGCACGUCCUCGUCCGUCGGCACCGACCAGCUUCCUCGCCCGGCCAUUGGCCACGCUGCACCGGUCGUAGUUGUCGAACCGGGUGUGCCAGCCGAUGUAGAGAAACAGCGGGCAGGGAAACCGGCCUGAAAAACGACACAGCGUAACCAUCAGGCGGAAGAAGUGGCCUGGAAUGAGGCAAUCUGCCCAAUUCUCGCCUGAAACGCGGUGAAUCGCAGGUUUCUGAAAUCAGACAAGUUUGUGCCAUUUUUUUACCUAAAUCUGGGCCGUUUCUAGGCAGAAUCCGGGCGUGCCUGACUCCUGUGGCAGAGAUCUGGGCGAGUGCCUUGAUCUCCUGGGCCUGGGCUUGGCUGGGCCUUGGGCUCCGUCGAUCGAUCCAGCAGAGACGACGCUCGGUGGGUCGUGGAACUCGUCGAAAGAAGAAGAAGAAGAAAAAAAGAGUCACAGCUCCAGCAGGCAACGCGUGUACGUACGUGACGCCAAGCCGUCCCGAUUGGAUGGGUGGACGCACGCACUUGUUUUCCCUUUUUUCAACUGUAUAUGUAUACGGAUGUACAUAAUAUUCAGAAAAUGUUCAGAAAUUUCGGAAAUUGUUAAUGAAGUUAUAAAAUAAUGUUCACAAUAUUCAGAAAAUGUUCACAAAUUUCAGAAAAAAAUCCCAAAUUUGAAAAAGUCCACAAAAUUCAAAAAAGGUUUGCCGUUUCAGAAAGGAUUCAUCAACUCAAAAAAAUGUUUUCCAAAAACAAAAAAUGGUCCUGAAAUUCAAAAUUGUUCCCAAAUUUCAGAAAUAUUGUUCAGAUGUUCCAAAAAUGUUCAAAAUUUCAACAAUAAUGGUGAAUUUCAAAAAUACUCAAGAAUUUGUAAAAAUAUUCUCGAUUGCAAAAAAAAAAUGUUCAUUAUUUGAAAAAUGUUUACAAUGUCCAAAGAUACUCAUUAAUUUUAAAUAUGUUCGCAAAUUAAAAAGAAAAGGAAAACAAAACCAAAAACCAAAAAGAAAGGAAAAGGAAAACAGAAAAAAAGAGGAAAAAAAACUAAAAAAGGAAAAGAAAGAAAAAAGGUUCAGGAAGGUUCUAGAAAGGUUUUCCUAUGGAGAUUAUACCAUGAAGCACUACCAACAACGAACCUUUUGAAUCAUCAACACAUGUCCACUACACGGGUUUGCGCUUUAUGUGCAUCUGAAGAUAACUGGAAACAUGCCCUCAUAGAUUGUGCUAUGGCAAGAGCUGUUUGGUCGCUGACCUCAGAAGAAACAGUGGAGUGUAUGGUUGAGAACCUGACGAUGAACGCGAAGAACUGGCUAUUCCAGAUGCAUGACAAGCUGCUGCAUGGUGAGUUCACCCGCAUGGUGAUCACGUUAUGGGCAAGAUGGUGAUCGAGAAGAAAGGCCAUAAUGAAGAGACUUUUGAAACCCCAUUCGCAACCAAUUUUUUCAUCAAGUUCUUCUUUCGGGACCUUGACAUCAUUGAUAGUAGAGUCUAUGUUCAUAGCGGGAGAGCACCANNNNNNNNNNNNNNNNNNNNNNNNNNNNNNNNNNNNNNNNNNNNNNNNNNNNNNNNNNNNNNNNNNNNNNNNNNNNNNNNNNNNNNNNNNNNNNNNNNNNNNNNNNNNNNNNNNNNNNNNNNNNNNNNNNNNNNNNNNNNNNNNNNNNNNNNNNNNNNNNNNNNNNNNNNNNNNNNNNNNNNNNNNNNNNNNNNNNNNNNNNNNNNNNNNNNNNNNNNNNNNNNNNNNNNNNNNNNNNNNNNNNNNNNNNNNNNNNNNNNNNNNNNNNNNNNNNNNNNNNNNNNNNNNNNNNNCGUUGCCGUUACUAAUGAUGGUUCUCAUGGUGCGGUAACUAUAGUUGGGAGAGAUUAGGGGGUUAACUUUCUUGGAGCCUUUGCAAUUACUUUCAGAUACAUUACAGAACCAACCACACUUGAAGCUCUGGCAGUACGAGAGGGUUUGGCAAUUGCAGAGGAUCUUUAUGUUACGCUGAUUCAAAUUUCGUCAGAUUGCCUGACGGUGGUGAAGGACAUUAUGCACAACUCAUCAGCGAUUUAUGGAGCUAUAGUGCACGAAAUAAUAGAGCGUUCGGGGAGUUUUCAUCUUGUAACAUAGUCCAUGAGUUUAGGAGCUCAAAUUUUGAGGCUCACAGUCUUGCUAAGCAUGCUUUAACCCUUGGGUUUGCCAUCCGGAGGAAAUUCUUUUCAUACCUGUAAACUUCUAGAUGGUUAAUAAAGCUUAGAAAGAGUGUCUCAAACAAAUGUUUCUUAUUUAUUACAUAUUUUUUUAAAAAUAACUAACGAUUUCGAAAAAUUGUGAAUUGUGGAAAAAAUAUUCGUGAAUUCAAAAAAUGUUCAUGGUCUGAAAAUUGUUCAGAAAAUGAUAAACACUUACGGAUUCAAAAAAUGUUCACAAUAUAAAAUAAUAUUCGUGAUUUAAAAUAAAUUUUUUUCUAUUAAAAAAUUGUUCCCAAUUUCCAAAUAUGUUGAUGAAGUUAUAAAAUAAUGUUUAUAAUUUUCAGAAAAUGUUCACAAGUUUCGAAAAUUGUUCCCAAAUUUCAAAAAAGUUCACAAACUUCAAAAAAAUGUUUGCCAUUUCAAAAAAGAUUCUUCAACUCAAAAAAAUAUUUUUCAAAAACAAAAAAUAUUCCUGAAAUUUAAAACUGUUCCCAAAUUUCAGAAAUAUUGUUCAGAUGUUCCAAAAAUGUUCGAAUGUUUUUAAAAAAUGGUGAAUUUCAAAAAAUUUCAAUAAAUUGCAAAAAUGUUCUCAAUUGCAAAAAAAUGUUCAUUAUUUGAAAAAUGUUUACGGUGUCCAAAGAUACUCAUUAAUUUUAAAUAUGUUCGUAGAUUAGGAAAACAAAAACCAAAAAAGGAAAAAAAACAAGAAGAAAGAAAAAGGAAAACAGAAAAUAAAAAGAAAAAGGAAGAAAGGAAAAGGAAAAGAAAGAAAAAAGGUUCAGGAAGGAACUAGAAAGGGCGAGGGUUACUUUUCAUUUCAUUGCAUAUUUCUAUGAAAGGUAUAUAUAUGCCUACUAUUAAAGGGAGGUGAUAUUAUUGGUCCGUCACAAUAAUUUGUAGAAAACCCCUGACUUUUUUGGGAAUUAACCUGCAGUAAAAAAGAGCAUUCGAAGUGUUUCUUCAUAUCGUGCAUGUCUGUUACCUCUUGUGGUCCAACGAAAACUCCAUGCGGGCCUGGAAACAAUGUAGACGUCCCAUUGUUUGUAUUCCUAUCAACUCGGCGGCAUAAAUGAUACCAUUCUAGUUCUAAUUCCAAAGGUAAAAAAUCCAACACUGCUUUCACAGUUCCGUCCAAUUAGUUUGUGCAAUGUACUCUAUAAGAUUGCCUCGAAAGUCAUCUCCAACAGACUGAAACAAAUACUGCCAGAUAUAAUUUCUGAGGAGCAGUCAGCUUUUGUCCCAGGCAGAUUAAUUACUGAUAACAUAAUUACUGCUUAUGAAUGUUUACAUUUCAUGAAGAGGAACAGGGCAAAAAAGCAUCAAUCCUGUGCCUUGAAGCUGGACAUGACUAAGGCAUAUGACAGGGUUGAGUGGACAUACCUCCAAGCUAUAAUGCUUAAAUUGGGGUUCAAUAGCAGAUGGGUGGAUAUUGUGAUGGGCCUGAUUACUUCGGUACAAUUUUCAGUCAUGUUUAAUGGGAAAAAGCUUCAGCAGUUCUCGCCUUCACGUGGGAUACGACAAGGGGACCCGAUAUCUCCAUACUUGUUCUUGUUAGCAGCAGAGGGCCUUUCGUGCCUCCUAAAAUCAAAAAGUGAGUCAUCCAACUUGAGUGGAGUACAGGUGGCUCCUACGGCACCACAAGUGAACCAUCUCCUAUUCGCUGAUGACAGCCUGCUGUUCUUCAAGGCAAACGGUGUGGGUGCUACCGAGGUGAACCAGCUGUUAGAGGUUUAUAGCCAGGCGACAGGUCAGCGCAUUAAUUAUGCAAAAUCUUCCAUAUUUUUUAGCAAAGGGGUUCCUGACAAUAUUAGGGUCGAGAUAAAAGGCAUCCUCAAUGUCCCGAACGAAACUUUAAGUGAGAAAUAUUUGGGUAUGCCAUCUGACGUUGGAAGCUCAAAAAAUGGUGCAUUCAGAUACUUGAAAGACAGGUUGUGGAGCAAAAUCCAGGGCUGGAUAGAGAGGACUAUGUCAACAGCAGGGAAGGAAGUUCUUGUCAAAUCGGUAGCGCAGGCCGUUCCGGUGUUUUCCAUGUCUUGCUUUAAGCUACCCAGGGGUCUUUGUGAACACCUAAAUAUGCUUAUAAGAAAAUUUUGGUGGGGGAGCACAAAUGGGCAACGUAAGCCACAUUGGGUGUCGUGGAAGGCAAUGACACAACCCAAGAGUAUGGGAGGACUGGGAUUCAAAGAUUUCGAGCUUUUUAAUUUGGCAAUGUUGGCCAGACAAGCAUGGCGCUUGCUACAGGAUCCAGGUUCGCUGAGUGCAAGAAUAUUGAAAAGUGUUUAUUUCCCAGACACAUCAAUCUUGUUGGCGACGUUAGGUAAUCACCCAAGCCAGAUUUGGAGGUCCAUCAUUGAAGGUCGGGACACUUUGAAACAAGGGCUGAUCAGGCGUAUUGGCAAUGGUAACAGCACGAAAAUCUGGGAGGAUAACUGGCUACCUCGCGAGGAGAUGAUGAGGCCAUACGGAUGUAUAUCAGCCAACCCCCCGGUCAUGGUUUCAGAACUUAUCAACGAAACAAAUGCCACAUGGAAUAUACCGCUACUGAAUGCCACUUCCAUGACAUUUGAUGCGACGGUAAUUUCAGGCAUCCCACUUUGUACCAUGAACAUGCAGGAUUUUUGGAGCUGGGCACAUGACCGAAGCGGACAGUUCUCGGUACGUUCGGCCUAUAACAUGCUCGUUGCGACAAGACAGAGAAGAGAAGCGUGGCUUGAAGGAUCGGCGGGAUCAUCAACCUUUCGCACCGACGAAGGAUCAUGGAAAACACUAUGGAAGACGGCGGUCCCGUCCAAAGUGCGUAUGUUCUUGUGGAGGUUAUCUAAGCAAUCCUUACCCACCGAGGAUGUGAGAGCACACCGUAAAAUGUCGACAACAAGUACAUGUGGCUUCUGUGGGGCUCAAGACUCAUGGCGGCAUUCCCUCCUACAGUGCACGGUUUCAAGAUGCACAUGGGCAUUGGUCGACGAAGAGAUGAGUUGCACCCUCGCGUCCUCCACAGAAACGAGUGCCAAGAGCUGGCUUUUUAGCCUGCUUGAUACAUUACCGCAUGAUAAGUUUGUCCUACUGGCGGUGACCCUAUGGGCAAUAUGGACAGCACGACGAAAGGCCAUUCAUGAGGCGAUUUUCCAAACUCCACAUGCAAUACAAAUGUUCAUCACCCGGUUUCUUGCAGACCUGGAAGCUAUCCGUACUCCUAAUCCUACACGGGCUCCGUUGGCAAGGACAGGUACUUUGAUACAGCGGCCGCGGGCACCUCCAGCAACAUACGCCAAAAUCCAUGUUGACGCCGGAGUACGCACUCGCAGAGGAGGAGCAGCCGUAGCCGUGUGCAGGGAUACCCAGGGCUUGUUCUUGGGUAGUUCGGCACUUGUCAUUCCAGGAGUUUGGGAUCCAGCCACACUGGAGGCGAUGGCAUGUCGGGAGGGCAUCACAUUGGCAGAAGAUCUUAAUAUUCGGAGGUUUGUGCUGUCGUCUGAUUGCAAGCAGGUAAUUGGGGACAUUGCCAAAGGAAACAAAGGACCCUACGGUGCCAUCAUCACGGAAAUUAUCUCUAGAUCGUCACCACUAUCUUGUACCUUUACUUUUGAAAGUCGUCGUUGUAAUUUCGAAGCUCAAAAGUUAGCUAAAUUUGCUUUGUCUUUAGCUCAGGGGCGUCAUGUAUGGCUUGGCCAGCCGCAUGACCAAACAUGUAUCCCACUUUCUGUGGAUUUUGAAUAAAGUGGCUUUACCCCUCAAAAAAAAAAAAUCAACUCGGCGGCCACAGGAACUCCGCUCGCACAUGCCUACCUGGAGUAGCAAACAAAGUUUCAAAAAGAACGAGAAAAGGUUAAAUCAUGUAUUCAUCCGCCUCCUCGAUCAAUCGUCAGUGUUGCCAUGGACAUGCCAUCGUGUUGGGAGUUGAUCAUGUCGGCCCUAUCGCCAGCGAGCACAAGGGCACGGGAGGUGGAGCUGUGCCUGCGCGAGAUAGCUAGCUAGACGCGAGACAAUGUCGUGAUUUCCCUGCGCUCGGCCAUGCAGCGUCUAGCCAAGCGAGCGGAACAUGAAGCGCGUACGAUGACGGGAAGUACAAGUCAUACGACGUCAAGGUGGAAAGCAUGAGAAAGUGACAACACAGAUGAAUUGCUAGGGGCGAAGAGGAGAUGUGGCAAUACCGAUGGAUCACUAGGGCCAUGCGAGUAUUUGCUUCUCCCGUUACAGUGCACAGACACAUUUGCUAGUUAAGCAUAAUAGAAAUAACUUGUCUAUUAUAGUAGGAACAGAAAAAGAGAUACAGUACGUGCGUGGUGCACUAACAGAAAACCAUGCAUGGCCGUGGAUGCCCCUCCGAUCCCGAAGCAUUCAUUGCUUAUUACUUCCUCCAUUCGAAAAUACUUAUCGUCAAAAUGGAUGUAUCUAGUACAAAGUAAAUCAUAACAUAGACGAUGGACUUUGUUUAUUUAGUACGCAUAUAGCGGCAGCCAUAUGCAUGCAUUACUUAUGUGAUCUUUUCUUCGCUGGUGUCGAUGUCGACAUCAGUGGACUUGGCACCCCGAUAGACGCCAUCAUGCAACUGGCGAGGGGGAACUACUUCCCCACUGAGCAGAACAUCCUUCUGCAUGUACGAGAAGGGAACAUCAACGACGUCCUCUCUUGAAAAUAUGCUGCAUGUCACCUUAGUCAUGGGAGGCACAGGAUAUGAGUAUUCUAUGGAGCGCUUAGUUUCUUGUAUCUUGGUUUCACCCCAAUUAUACUCUCCAUGAAAGUCAAGAUGACUUUCAACAUCGCCUUCCAUCAGGAAUGGCAAGCCGGCUGACAACUUGGCCUUGAUACCUACGUCGAGUGUUAACUUGGCAUCCCAGGUACUCUCUAUUCUGUCAUACAGUUCGAUGGUGGUUUGGGCGUUGUGGGUUUCAUGUGUUCUGUUGGUAGCAAGCACAAGGGUCCUGGAGACAUUUUUGUUGGUGCUGGUCUUCUUUCCCCCAACGCGGUACUCGACAUCAUAGAUUUCUCGAGAACGGACCGGUUCUUCAAUCUGGAACGUUGCUUCUUUCGUAUUGCCAUCGUCGGAAGAAGCAUGGAAGUAAUCUAUCUUGUCGUCGAUGGUUACCCUCCUGCAAAAUUUGCCGUUGCCAUGGGAUAGGACUGCAAUGUAGUUGUCAUCCUUGAUGACCACCUUGAACAAACAGUCAACCAUUCCGUAGUCCCUGCUGCCUAUGUCGGCCAUCAUCCAAUUUACAGCAUGGCCACCUUCAAGGCCACGCCUCCAAUACACUUUUGAGGCAACUUGUUUUAUAUAGACGACGCCAUACUCGUCGGUAUAGGUCUCUUGGAUCACAGUUGGAUCUGCAAUAUCAGACGAUGAAAACACCAGAAAGAUAUCAACUGAUGUUUCGUGUGCUGUGAGGUACUUGCCAUUGUCGCCUUUGAAGACAACAUACUUGGGCAGUUCCUUGUCGUGUGACAAGCGACGAACACUGAAGAGACUCAUAUUAGAACUAUCAGCUUCUAGGUUAUCUCUUAGUUGCAAGUAGGCUUUGCCUGGACCAGACACAGAAAGCAUGCAAGCAUACUUCUUUUGCUGGGAAUGAAAGAACCUGUUGUACAGAAAUAAAAAAAUUGUAUUAGAUCAUGCCUUAAUUCCAAGUAAGUUGCAUGCAUGGCAGCCAUUGCCAUCUAUCUAAGUGGAAACUUCAAAGGAAUCCAUACGUUACAAAAAAAAUCAUAUACUAAUGUGCAUGUAAAUUAGAAGUGGUAAAUACGAAGAAAAGGGAGUGGGGAGUUAGAGCAUCUCUACUCGAUCUCUAAAAAUUUAGGCCCUUAUACGGGCGGCCCCUUAUAUCCUAACUCCUUAAUCGGUUAAAUAAUGACGGUUCCAAGCCAAACCCCUAACUUAACUCCAUAUAGCUUCGAAAAUGUUAACGCCCACACGUGUGGGCGUUUGCACCCCUCCAUCACCACUCAUUUUGCCACGUAUGAAUAGAUGACAUCAGCAGAAUUUUUUUUGGUUUCAGCUUAAAAAUGUUGUAUCUCCUAAAUAAAAAAGCGAACUAAAAAUCCGUUUUCACCAUUAAAUCCGUCUCGACGAGAUCUUCAAAACUAGACCCCAUGUUGAUAUGUUUCGACGAAAUUUUUUUUUGCCCAGAAGUUGCCAUGAUGUUUACACUGUAGUUGCCAUAGGGCUUAAACUAAAGUGGCCAUGUGACAAUUUUAGUUUGUAGAUCAUGGCAAUUUUAGUAUUUUGAUGAUGGCAAUUCCAGUACUUUAACCAUGAAAAUUAUUUUUUGUAUAAACCAUGGCAAUUUUACGUGCAUGUAUCAUGGCAAUUUUAGUUUAUGGUUCAUGGCAAGUCUAUUUUCUUAAUUCCCCGUUUUAUAAAUGUCAAAAAUUACUUUUAAAUGUAGAAGAAAAUAGCUGAAACAUAUCAUGGCAAUUUCAGUGUAAAUAUCAUGGCAAUUCAUAUCCAAUAGACAUAGCAACUUUUAAUCCAAAAAAAAAUCAUCAAAACAUAUCAACAUGGGAUCUAGUUUCGAAUAUCUCAUCGCGAGAGAUUUAAUAGUGAAAACGGAUCUUCAAUCGGAUUUUUCGUUUAAAAGAUAAAACAUUUUAAAAACUGAAAAUCCAAAAAGAUUCCUACAUGCAUGCAUGCGAUGACGUGGCAAUCUGUUUGCAUUAGAGACGUGUGGUGCGUCUCCCUUCCUGCCACACGUGUGGCAGUUAGGGGCGUCCUAUAGCUUACAUUUGGCUCAUGCAUUUCGUCAAACACUUGCAAUGCAACACCUCGAUCUUCUCUACGACGUCACUGGUGCGCCUGCAUCGCCACCAUCUGCCUUUGCCAACCUCAUUCCCGGUCAUUGGCAACAUCCCUGACAUGUUCCAUGGAGGCGAGCUGCACCGUGUGCUCAAUCGCCAGUCAGUGUCCUACGGCCCUGUCAUGUCUUCCAUGAAGCUCGACAUGGCAAGCACCGUCGUAUUGUCGUCCCAUGUUGCAGCGCACGAGGCGCUCCACAAGGAGGGUGUCCUCUCCUCCCUGUACGUCCCCGACAACGCCAGUGUAAUGGACCACACCGACAUUUUCAUGGUGAGGGCGUACCUUGGUGAGCACCCUACUCUUCAAAUCCCCAUGGCUCGACGCUAGUCGCGCCAUCCAUGAGCGCAAGCCCGGGAGCUCGUUGAACACUUCCACAUGAGCUUUGUGUUCCCGGUGCAUAUCGCGCUCUCUCUGUUGAGCAUCGUGCUCAAUUUGAUGUCCAUCGCUCUAUGCUCGGAGGCGAGCCAGGGCCGGUGACCAGGCAGGAGUUCAUGGAGUUGAACGCAGACUCUGUUGUGGAGACUCGUCGGCAGGGGGAAGAAGACAAAGGAGAUGGGAGAGAGAGAGAGAUAUAGGAGGCGCGCAAGAGGCAGAGAAAAAACUGAGGGACGGGUGGCGGGAGGAGCCAGGGCGGACGCGCGGAAGGAAAGGGGAGGUGUGGGCUAUACCUGGCCAUACCUCCGGCUGUAGAUGCUCGAAUAAUAUAUAAAAAGGGACUUUUUACGGUACAUCUUACUACCAGAAACAAUGGGUAGUAUAUAAGCGAUCCGAUGGUCAUUAUUAAUCUCAAUUUUUUUCUCUGCAGGACAUUUUGGUAAUUGCCUGUUAGAAGAUUUGUCCUUUCUUGCUGUUAUCAUUGUAAUGAUUAAUAAGUAUUCUAUAUGAGUAAUUGCAAUUGACACCUGAAGAAAAGAAUUAUCCCUCGUCUUAGUUCGUAGGUUGGCCCCUCGUUCUCACACAGUGCGUAAGUUUACCCCUCAUCUCCGUACAGCUCGUCAUUAUUCUGUCGACGCAGGCGCUCCAGCAGCCGACGGGCGCGCAGGGCCGGCCGCUGCGUCUCCCGGCCUGUAGUCGCCACCUCAAGAUAUUCGACGGCGCAGCCGCCCCACGGCCCUUGUUUCGGCUAGUUCCUACCGAGAUCGAUCCAUCGGCCGGCUGCUCGUAGCUGUGUACGUGCAUCUUCAAGCCAGGGGAAGAAUCGAUCAAGGAGCCUACUAGUCUGCUUCGUGUAUACGUCUACCUCUCCGACGGAACCGAUUAGCUCUCUCUCCGUUGUCGAGGUCGAUCGGGCCUGUGCCAACAGCCCUCUCUCCGUGGCACGUUCUUCAGACAGCGCCUUAGAUCGGUUCCUCCGCACGUCGUAGUGGAGAUCCCUCACAUAUAUAGCUGGCCCUGCUGGUGCUCCCAAGACGCCAUAGCUGCGUUUUUCCUAAAUAGAACUACCGAAAUUGUCCCUGAUCACAAAUUAUACUAUCAAAAAUCUGCAGUAGUAUUUUUAAAUCUGGGCUGUCCAAACACAUAAAAUAAACGGCCAAUAUUAGUCUGAUGUACUGUAAAAUGUCUCUAUAAAAACCAGAUAAUGUGCCGAGAAGAAAUACUAUGUCGAAAUCUUAUGAAAGUGUACGGGAUAAUGUAGAGUAGUAUAUAUGUAUACACAUUGCUGAAACAUAACCAUAUUUUGCUGAAACAGCACUAUGAAUUAGGCAGUCAAGAAAAUGGGGAGGGCCAAAUAUAGGGAAGUGACAAGACAGACAGAAGAAGAUAUACUCCAGUGAAGAGUACCUGGCGGUGCGUUUGGUGGUAGAGUCAGGCCUGAAGUCGAACAAGGUGCAGGACGGCUUGGUCAGGUCCUCCUCCGGUUCAUCUGCGGUGGCACAGAUGAACCAGGUACUGCCGCCGCCGCCGGGCGCGCGUAGCUGCUGGGCGACCCAGUAUUUGUCGCCGUCGGAGCAUCUGACGUGCAGGAGCCCGUCGUGUUUCUUGGACGGCUCCAGGUAGAACUUCUCGGCUGGGGUGGUGGCGCGGAGGACGACGUAGCUUAGCUCGAUGUAAGUGGCGGCCGUUGCUUGGUCAUAGACGGAGCGCAGGCACCCCGGACGAGACGGAUCCCCCAAGGUAGCGCACACCGGAGGGCCCGAGAGAGGAAAUACCACGGGCGGUAGCACCACUGAAGGAUCAGCCAUCCAGGGGCCUGCAUUUCUCCAGAUACUCCUAUCCAUAGUAUUUCUCGCGUGCCGUGCGCUUGUGAAUUUUCAAGCUGGGGUGCUCAGACUAGCAGCCUGGCUAGGUAUUUUAUAGCAGGAGCUAGCCCCAUCGCCCGGGACCAUUAGCGCAAAUAUAUUUUUCGAUAAAGGGCGGUUUUAUUAGAGCAAAAAUAUAUAUGGACCCUAAUAAGUGUUACAUGUGUGGCACGAAUACAUUACAUUUUUAAAUGUUUUUUAUGACAAAUUUAGUGACGUGAGGAUGGCAAAUAUGAUUUUUUUAAAUGUCAACUUUAACUGUAAAAAACAAACAUAGAAUGCUUCAUGUCACACGUGUGUCACUUAUCAUUUGGGAUAUAUAUUAAGAGGCUUAGACUAUCCAUAGUCUAAUUCGCAUCACGGGCUGCACCGACCGCUACUUUCGAUCGCGUGCGCUAUAUAGCAGUUUUAUCUAGCGUGCGGCUUAUUUAGGGCAUCCGUUGAAGAUGCUCUGACCCCGCAAAUCAAGUGCGUUCAAUUCGCGUCACGGGGUAGUACACAAGUUUUAGAUUCUUGCAACAUUGAAGCGACGUUGGGCCACUCCUGAUUUAAUCUUUCAGAUCUGGAUCUUGGCCUUGUCCUUCCUAGCGGCCGGUAGGCAAACAAAACGUGGCAGCGUUUUUGUUUGUGGCAAUCAUUUGUGGUCACUGCCUCGCCUGGCCAACUUUGUCCACGGCAGACUCAAACAAAUGCCGGACAGAUGCUCCCGCGUUACUCGUGUCCGAUCGACCAGCUAGGCUCAAAUUCACAUGCUCUUUUUUGAAGCUUUUCUCUCAUCAAUUUGGGCAGCAAGACGUAAGGACAUUCACCAAAGUAGUAUAUUUCAGAGUGUUUUUUUUAGAAAAGGAGGAUGUACCUCCGGGGCCUCCGCAUAUGUACGAUGCAUGCAGCUAGACCUGUAGCGCGCCUCGGCGUGCGGUGCCGGGUAUUGCCGAUUGUGCCUAAGUGUGCAUGCCCGGCAUACUGUAAUUGUAAUUUUGCGGUAAGCUUAGCAUGUUUUUUUUAGCACGCCCAUGAUAAAGCACAAGUAUUUAGCUUAUUCAAGAGCAAUUAGGGCAUAAAGUUCAGUGUUAAAGAGUAGCAAAAGUGACCAAAGUGACAGCGGGAUAAAUACAGAGCAAGCAACACAAUUAGAAACCAGAGACAACGCUAACACAGAAUGCUUUAAGUACGGGAUUUUCAUACAAAGCAAUUAAGGUCUGAGAGAACAUCCAUCAGUUUUGAUGCAACAUGAUAUUCAGAGCAAGGCAUUCGUACAGAAGGUGAAUGGUCGAAGAGAAAUUAACUGAAACGGCUUGGUAGCUAGUGGUAUAAUACAUAGUUGGGCAGUAGCAUCGCCGAAGCAAGUGGUUCAUAAAACACUGGUUUGUAGUACUGAUUACAAAUAACGUACAAUAAGGCUGGACAGGUGCACACUGUACUAAUUCAGAACACUCUUGUUGCACUGAAUAAGGCUGGACUGCAGCAAUCAUGCGUCGUGAUUCAGAGACAGUCAAGCAAAGUAUGAUACUUGAGCAAAGCUUGCUGAUAAACCAAAAGGGCCUGGAUUUCUUCCUGUGCCCGAAGCAUCAAACAUUCUCGUCGUAGAGAAAGUCUUCAACAUCGAAGCGGCUUGCACCACUCGUCCUCAAUAUAAUGUACAUGAAGCAACAUAUAGGUUAGGCACAAGUAGUUGUAUGUACAGGAAUAUCACAAUGUGCGCUCAGUCAUAUCACAAUGUAUAACAGUAGUUGUAUGUACAGGAAGCAACAUAUAGGUUAGGCUCAAGUAGUUCUACCAAGGCAUACUAUUAGUACUAGAUAGACUGGUUCGAUUGGCUUGUCAAGGAGCUUUUUUAUGAAUAAUACGAUUAUGCUAAUAUAACAUUUUGAGAGUUAUUUAUCCAAAACCACCACACUUGGGGCUAUGGUAACAACUUGGUACCAGAUUUGCGCCAGGGCACAAAAAACCACCGAAAUUGUGCCUAACAUGUAACGCGGAGCACUGAUGCUGGGAUUUGGUCGCGAAAACAGCCAAACCGACAAGUAGGGCCCGCCUGUCGGGCUGACGUGGCGAAGACCAAAAAAUUUGACCAACUGAUGUGGCAAAUGAGGCGUGGGCCCUACCUGUCAAUGACUAGAGAGUCAUCUUCUUCACAACAUUUUUUCUAUGGAGCAUUCCAACGAACACCUUGUCUGCGUUCAUCCUCUAGCCAUUGAAGAAGGCACAAUACGCCAUGGCCACGCCGGAGCAGCGACCAGAGGAACGGCGAGUCGGACUUCUCCAUCCCGUCCGCAGGCUCACGCAGCUCUUCCUAUCCUCCUACCAAUUACCAAGGUGGUGGCCACCUUGCCGAAGCUUUCAUACGACGGCGACGUGGACAAGGUGCCGGGCAAGCCAAGUUGUGGCUGCGUGGGAAGGGACGAGUGGCUCACCUUGAGCACGUAUGAGUGCUCGGACACGCCGACGCCAUGAAUGAGCACACCUGCGUGAAGAAGAAGGCGAGGUCAUGCUCGUCGUCGUCCAUGGAGGCCGCCCGUCGCGCUGCCCGACGCAGUCGCCCUACCCAGGCAGCGCGGGAGCUGCGCGUCCUUGCUGGCCCUGCCCGCAGGCCAGCACGCCGACGGCAAGCGUGAUGUGGCCCUGGGCUAGCUCGAGCAGGGCUCGGCUACUGUGGCCAUGGUGGCCAUGGAGCUCUCGGCUCGGCCGUCCAUGCCGGCGGGGGCGGCGGCGGGAUUCGAGGGUUGGUGACGUGUAGGGAAGAGGCUGAGGCAGCCUGGGGCAAGCUUGAGCAGGGGCUCGGCUUCCAUGGCUAUGGAGCUCUCGGCUCGCAUGGGGUAGAGAUGCUCGGACAAGCCGCUCGAUGCAAUGCUCCAAAGAAAUAAAGAUGAACACGUAGUCAAUGACAGGCGGGACCCGCAUGUCAUCUGCCACCUCACCUAGUCAACACUUUUUUUAUGUGCUUGGUCUUCGCCACGUCAGCCCAACAGGCGGGCCCUACUUAUCAGUUUGGUUGUUUUCGCGACCAAAUCCCAGCAUCAGUGCUCCGUGUUACAUGUUAGGCAUAAUUUCGGUGGUUUCUUGUGCCCUGGCACAAAUCUGGUACCAAGUUGUUACCCUAGCCCCAAGUGUGGUGGUUUUGGGUAAAUAACUCACAUUUUGAUGACAACACACAACCGAGUGUGUAAACACAAACAAAAUAGUGUUCUACAUUACUAAAAUGUGUACUGUAACACCAGCUAUCAAUAAGCAAACUAAACAUCAUAUCAGGUAAAACAAAUAUAGAGCUCACCAACUCAGCAACCAUCAUUAGAAGAGAUUCAUGUCUCGCAACUCAGGAAAAUACAAUGAAAUUUUUUUGUGCACUGAUGAACUUGCUUGAGAUACAGAAUGGUUGGCACAACUGUGACAUCAAAAUAGUAACAAUUAAAACUUAAAAGUCCAGCUUAAUUUAAAAUAUCUAAACAGGUAAAAUAAGAAAUAAAGGCCCUGUACAACAAAUGAAAUUAGUUCUCUUAUUCGUGAUAGGUGAUCUGAAUCUAAAAGUAGUGUUGAGAUUCACGAACCAACCGAAACUAAAUAACAACCUACUAUGUCUUAAAAGCAUAGUCUAAUAACCGAACUCCCGAUUAUCAACAUCAAAGAAAUCAUGAGCUAUUCCAACAUUCCAUGGCUAUUUUUAGAGUUGACAACAUUUCCAGUUUGUUAGACCCUCGAUAUGGCUAUAGCAGCGAGCAUAUUGUACUAACGGGAUAGUUUACUGUUGUGACUAAUGUGAUAACUGAUUGUUAAUGGGACAAUAUUUUGAAGGAUAGCAUUCCCAUUAUUUUGUAAUGGGAGUGGCAUUGCCACUUUGUUUUUGAGCAUCUUUAUUAUUACUUGACUGGAAAGCGAAAGAUUGUGUGCAUUAUUGUUCCACAUGCUCGACUGCAACUCCGACAUUUUUUUGAGCCUCGAUUUGGUGAUGAAGGCAUUACCAAAAAGAUCACAAGAUAAGCGAACCAAUUAAAGUCUCAAUAUGCAAACAUGCAACCUCAACAUGCAACCAUGUAUGAGAAAAGGCCACCUCAACAUGCAACCAUGUAUGUCAAAAGAUUUUCCAUUCUUCUAUGCUACUUGUAUCCAAAUAAAUAUUUUACAACUAUAUAAUAAUCAAAUACAAUACAUCAUUUCUAUUUUCAGUUUCAAUCCAAUAUUAUUAAGCCAAAUACUCAUGUUUGAUACAACCAAACCUCAUUGAAACAUAUUGCAACCAGUACCCGCAUCAAUAUGCGGGUUAUCAUCCAGUUAUUAGGCUGGUCGUAAUGGUAGUAUCAUAAGUAGUACUCCCUCCGUUUCUUUUUACUCCGCAUAUAAGAUUUGGUCAAAGUCAAACUAGACAAAGUUUGACCAAAUUUAUAUAAAAAAUUAUGAACAUCUACAAUAUUAAAACUAUAUAGUAUGAAAAUACAUUUUGUGGUGCAUCUGAUAAUAUUGAUUUCAUAUUGUUAAUGUUUAUAUUUUUUAAUGUAAAAUUAGUCAAACUUUAUAAAGUUUGACUUUGACCAAACCUUAUAUGCAGACUAAAAAGAAACGGAGGGAGUAUCAUGCAUGCCAACUAGGCAAUUUUAAUGAGGUGUCAUAGCAUUAAAUGAAGAAAGAGAGGGUGUAGUAUCAUAUCAUGAUACUGUAUCAUAUUAAAUGCUAAGAUAUCUUGUAUCAUGCAUGGCAAUAAAUAGAGUACUACAUGAUACUAAUAUAUGAUACUAUGCAUUAGGAACGUAGUAUCAUAUACUAGUAUCAUAUGCAUGAUACUAGUAUAUGAUACUCCCCAUUACAUCAGCCUUAUCAAUGUGAGACACAAUUGGCACAGGCAGCCAGGCUCCCCCUUUUCUUCAUUUAUGCACUCAUUUCCUAUCAUAUCUUCACCUUCUGUGCAACAAUGAAUGAGUUGAACACCUCAUCACCUGCAGGGUGGUGCACGGCCAGCACUUGGAACCCGCCACGCCCGAUAUCGUCCAGCUCCACUACAGGAUAGAGGAACGCUCGCGCCCCGUGCGCGCUUCGCGCGACGAGCACCGCCCCAUCUGCCAUGUGCUUCCCCAAGUGCGCGAUGGUGUUGGCCUUCUCCUCGGACGUCAUCCCCACGAGCGCCGCCAGGAAAACCACGUCGUACGCGCCGAGCUCAGACGUGAGGUCCGCGACUUCGGCCGUGUGGAACGGCAUGCGCGAGCGCACGUCCACAUCCGCCGCGCCGACCAGCUUCAUCGCCCGGCCAUUGGCCACGCUGCACCGGUCGUAGUUGUCGAAGCGGGUGUCCGGCAGGUGGUAUGUCGCGAGGAAGAGCGAGCUGAACGGCAGCGGCCCUGACCCGAUGAACGCCACGCGGGCCGGAGCCGCCAUGUGACCGGCCAGAAGGUCGUUCUCGAGCUUGCUCAGGUUGAUGUAGUUGUCAAAGUAAGGGAAGCGGCCGAGGUGGUCGAGCGGGCUGUCCAAGGCGGUGAGCAUGUCGGAGUAGUGCGCCUCGAGCAGCCCCUCGGCGGUUGAGCACAGGCGGAUGAGGUCCUGCCGCAUCUCCUGCGCCUCCGGGCCGAGCUUGGUCACGUCCACCGGGCUCGACGGGACGCACGCCGCGACCAGCUCGGUGAAGAGCGCGUCGACUUGAGGGGACGGGCUUAGCGACGGGAGCUUGGAGAUGGCGGCGUGGAAGCCGGUGAUCUUCUCGACCAGAGCAGCCACCUCGCUGUUUUCGGCCUCCAUGUCACUUGAUUGCCAAGUAGGUAUGGCUGGUGUUGUAGUGCUGUUCUGAAAAACAAAUGUAGGCUGUAGUGCUAUGAUGGAGCUGAUGCUUGAUACAAUAUGAAGGGAAAAAAAUCAAUGGAAUUGCAAUUGAUUGAGCAGUUUGAUGAGCUGUGGAGGGUGAGGGGUCGUAUGUAGCAUGGAAAUCGUAUGCGAGGCGCGCUUCAUGCUUGCACAGACGUGACGGCCUGUUUCGCGCCUCUAAUUUCCGACAUGCGUCAUUGCAUCUUGCUGACAAGCUCAUGAUUUGGUAGCUAGCUUGACAAUAUACCUAAUAAAUUUGGAGUGGGGGGAUAGGCCGAUAGGUGGAUAAAUUUAGUCUCUGGCAUGUGCCUACGAGCCAACCUCUGUUGAAUAUUCACUCGGAUCUGAAGAAAAAUGGCAGAAUAGAGUUGUUCUUUACUGAAUAAAUUAGGAUCUUUCUCUACCAAAUUAGAGCGCACAGUCAUUCUUCUAUUGAUGUUCCCAGAAAUUCAGUUCACCAGGGAACACCUUAAGUUGAAUGUGAUUUUAUUUUGUCUAAAUCAGUACUCAAUAUAGAGACAGUGGACGGUGGGAAACCGACUGAACUGGCGAUGCGGGCACUGAAAAAGCUUCAGUAGCACAGUAGCACUGGCCUUACCCGUAGCAGCCGGCCGGCCGGCGUCUGCUCCCGCUCCCGCUCCACCGCUAGUCCCCCUUCAGCCGUUCGCGGCCGCACGAAUAUCUCUCCGUCGUGGGGGGAGGACGGCGACCUUCUCGGGCCCCCGAAGCGGAGGAGGGCACCGGCUGCGUCGCGGCGGGAUGACGCCGCCGUCUGCAGCGGGGAGGCGAAGGCAGGGAUGACGGUGCGGGGAGGCGGCCGGGAUCAGCUCCGUCGCGCUGCAGGUGGUGGCCGGAUUUCAGAUCGGGAGCGCUUCUUUGGCUGGAGGUUGGAGAGAGGAAUGGGGGAGAGGAGAAACCGAGCUUGACCAAAGGCGCAUAUCGUCAGUAUGAUUUUUCUUUUGAUCGACGGAAUAUUAUUAUUCCAGGAGUUGGGCUGGAUUAUUCUAUAAAGGAGUUGGGCUGGAUGGGCUAGGCUAUGGUACCAACUUACAUGUGUGAUUGACAGCCUGCACGAUGCAGCCACCCUUGAGGCGUUAGCAUGCCGUGAAGCUUUUGCGCUGGCGGAAGACCUGUCAAUCCAUGAUUUUGUCAUCGCCUCAGAUGCGAAGCAAGUUGUUGAUGAUAUAAACAAGAGAAGCAGAGGCAGCUACGGUUCGAUCGUCACUGAAAUCAAUGCUAGGUCUGAAAUGUAUAAUUGUAGAAUCACUUAUGAGGGACGUUUAUCAAAUAAUGAUGCUCAUAAUUUAGCUAGAUUUUCUGUUAGAUUAUCUCAGGGGCGCCAUUUGUGGCUUUUGCAACCCCAUGAUGCUUCCUGUAUCCCACAUAAUGUGGUAUUCGAUGAUGAAUAAAGCGAUUUACCACCCCUCAAAAAAAAAUCUCUUAUUUCUUUCUUCUACCAACAGACAGGUGGGGUCCACAAGGUAAAAGUGGACGUGGGUUGUCAAUGCCGUGGUAAGCGCCACGUGGCCAAUUUGGUCGAUGAACAGAGUACCACGUAGACUAUAUGACUGGUGAACAAAGCGCCACGUGGCCAAUUUGACCGAUCAGUAGAGUGCCACGUAAAGUAUCUACGUGGUUAACAGAGUGUAAUACGAUGCUCUACGGUGAGCCAGUGCUCGUAUACUUACCCCAAAACGUAUAUAAUGACCGAAACUAGCGUAUUCUGAAGUCCAGUGACCGUAUCAUGUUUUCGCUUCAAAUAUAGUGGCCAGCAGUGUAUUUAUGUCAUUACAAUACUAUCAUGCCAUUUAGCAUUUGCAUUGAGUACUUAUUUUUUAAAACUUACCAUUUCCUUCAAUUCCUCUUGAAAUUGAUACUUUUAUUUUAUUUUUAAAGAUCUAUAAUUGACCUCGUACACUUGUCCGGUAGUGGGAUAGUGGGUGUGUUUUAGUCCUAUUAUUUAAGCUCAUGUGCGUGAGAAGAAAUACAAGAAACGACACAAGAUGUGUGCGUGCCAUGACUCUGUGUGUGUUCUUCUACCUCUUGUGUGCGUGUGUUUUUCUUUCUUCUCCUGGGCAAACCCCACAGUGGAUUAAUUAGGCGCCACAUUUAAUCUUAGUUGUGCCUUUAUCUGCUUAUUAUGCGCAAAUGAUGUCACACCAAAUGGGCCGUGUGUGAGAUUUCAUUUUCAAAUUGUGAAACUGCUAGUUGGGAACCAUUCAACUCCACGAAUAGGGAAUACCCCGAACUUGUAUAUGGAGCCGACAUGUAUUCGGAAUCCAAUGAUAAAUACAUUCUAGAUAUAAUUUAAAUGCAAUCUUCAGAUACAUAUACAGGGAUCAAAGUUUUUUUUCCCUUCUAUUAAGAAAUAUAGGAUCCUGAUUCGAACAAGAAUAUGGCAGUCCACACCACUACAAGUUGAGAAAAAGAUAGUAAGACCAUAUAUUAAUCAAGUAAAUAAAAUACAUUCGUAUCACAAGUGCAAUAUAAGCUCCUCGCCAAUAAAAGUGCAAUAUAAGUUCGUACAUCAAUUACACAUGCUUAACAUAUAAUCAUAGCAGAAAGGAAGGACCUUAUUUAUUUAGUACGUACAUAUAACAAUCGGCACUUGCAUGUAUGCAUACAUUGACUAUUUAUGCGAUACUUUCUUCAGUGAUGUCAAUGUCGAUAUCAGAGGACUUGGUACCUUGAUAGAUGCCAUCAUGUAACUGACGGAUAACUAUGUUGCCACUGUACAUAACAUCCUUCUGCUUGUAUGAGAAGGGAACAUCAACAACAUCUUCUCUUGUGAAUAUGCUACAUAACACUUUAGUCAUUGGAGGCACAGGAUAUGAGUAUUCAUACAUGCGCUUAGUUUCUUGUAUCUUGGUUUCUCCCCAAUUAUACUCUCCAUGAAAGUCCAGAUGGCUUUCAGCUCCACCUUCCAUUAUAAAUGGCAAGCUAGCUGAGAUGUGGGCUUUGAUACCUGCGUCGAGUGUUAAAUUCGCAUCCCAUUUACUCUCUGUUCUGUCAUAUAGUUCAAUAGUAGGUUUGCCUUGGUGGGUCUCAUGUGUUCUAUUGUUAGAAAGCACCUCUGUCCUGGAGACAUUUUGGUUAGUGCUAGUCUUCUUUCCACCGACAUUGUACUCAACAUCAUAUAUCUCUCGAGACUUAACCGGUUCUUCAAUCUGGAGCAUUACUCCCGAGGAGUUGAUAUCAGUACCAGAAGCAACGAGGAUAUUAGAAUAGAUUAUAGUCGGAUCGGUCACACUCUCACAGAAUUUUCCAUUGCCGAGGUUUUGGAGUGCAAUGAUGUUCCCAUCAUUUGAGACCACCUUGAACAAUGUGUUAACAUCGUUGUAAAUGGCAUCAUGUGGUAUGAACGCGCUGAAAUAAAAGCCAGGGUCAUUUAUAGUGCCAAUCGUCCCAUUGAGGAGACUACGGACGCCACAUGUCCAAAACCUGCCUGAGGUGUUGUUUCUUAUGCGGACAAUACCGUAGUCGUCGGUGAACGUCUCAUGGAUCACAUCUGGAUCUGUGAUAUCAGAUGAUGAAAACUGCUGAACCCAAUCAUCACCAUCAGUAUUUACAGAAAACGAAUUCCGGUUCUUUUCUGUGAGGUACUUGCCAUUGUUGCCUUUAAAAGCGACAUAUUUGGGCAAUUCCUUCUGUUGCGACAAGCGAUGAACACUCAAGAGAUCUGUUACUCCUAGUUGCAGGUAGGCUUUGUUGCCUGGAAUAAAACAUAAGUCCCCAGAGACAGAAACCCAGCCAACAUAUUUAUUUUGCUGAGAAUGAAAGCACCUUGUUGUACAAAAAUAAUUAACAACAUCAGAUGAGAAAUUUUAAUAUGGUCCCUAAGAGGAUAAUUUAAUCCUAGCUGUUGAUUGACCGAGGGUAAUUUUGACAAAAUAAAUAUGGUAAUUACAACAAAAUAAAUAGGAAAUAUUCUUGAUGGGUUUGGUGAUCUGUCUUUUGAUGAAGACAUUUUCUCUCUGCCAAAAAAAUGCGAAUCCAAUGCUAUACUUCUUAUGGUAUGCUACUAAUUCAUUGGCGAUGGAAAUUUGGCGUUGUAAUGUUCCUCCAAAGGUCCAGUCAUUUGCAUGGCGACUAGCUACUAAUUCAUUGGCGACAUGGACGAACAAAGUGAAACGAAAUCUGGAAGUAUUGGCAAUGUGUCCAGUAUGUGGGCGCGAAGAAGAGGACUCUUUUCAUGUUUUCUUUGGAUGCAAUCACGCUGUUUGGCUAUGGGAAGCCAUGUCCUCUCAGUGGGCUCUGCCGAAGCGAACGAACAUCAAGCACACUGGUAUAGACUGGUUAUUUCAUCUCCUAGCAGGUACUGAUGAGGAGACUCGCAGCAGGUUGCUGAUGCUUUUCUGGAGAACUUGGUACCUAAGGAAUGAGAUUGUUCACUCAAAGCCAUUGCCUCCAAUUGAUGUCUCUGUCAGAUUUUUGGUAAGUUAUUACUUUGCAUCGUUGCAGGCUAUACACUUGGAUCCACAAGCUGACUCCUUGAAGGGAAAGGAGGUGUUAGCUCCAAGCCAUCAACGCAAGCAACUUGCUUGUGAUAAUGUUCAUAUAGUGAAUGUCAGCUCGUGGACAAAACCGAUUGAGGGCAGAGUAAAACUUAACACAGAUGGCUCAUAUUUGGAAGGUAAAGGGGGUACAGGCAUGAUCCUCAGGGACGCUGAUGGCUUAAUCAUUUUCAGCGCAUGCAGACAUUUGUACACAUGCACUGAUGCUUUAGAAGCGGAAUUACUAGCGAUAAAAGAGGGAAUUUCCUUGGCACUACAAUGGAGUAAUUUAUCCAUUGAUGUUGAGUCUGAUUGUUUGGAGGCUAUCUUGAUGAUCAAAGAAGGAGCAGGCAACAAAUCGAAGCAUGCUUUUAUCAUUAAGGAGAUUAUUGAUACUAUGGGGGAACGUACUUUUUGUAUUACUCACACUCGUCGGAACUGUAAUAAUGCUAGUCAUUUCAUGGCUAAUUUUGGUAGGUUGAAAGGCCGAACCGCGGUUUGGCUAGGCUCUGGUCUAGAAGAGCUCCCGGAAAUUGUGGGACGAGAUUGUAAGACCGAACUUUUUAUCUCUGCCUUUUUAUCAACCGGUUUGGAUUGGCAAAGAGAGGUGAUUGGUUAGUGAUUGUUAUGAGUCAUCAACAGAUAUCAGUGACCACUCGAGCCUUUUUAUCUCUGCCCUUAGUUGCAUUUAUUACUACUGAUGACGACAUAAGUCGCCCCUGGCGUGACUAGACUUGGGUGUGUUUGGUUGGGCUCCAGUUUGGCAUUGGCGCAUAUAAGCUCGGACCUAGCCAAACAAGAGGCGUAUAUUUGGUGUGAGCGAAAUGCUAGGGUGUUCCAACAUAAAUCGACACUCCCAUCCAUCAUCCUUUGCAACAUCAAGAAUGAGGCUAGGCUUUGGAUCACCGCCGGCGGGAAGCACUUGGGAAACAUCAUGCCGCGAGAGUAGAAGUUGUACACUUUAUCUUAGCUUUUGUGUUGUAAAAGCAACUCUAGAACUUCUUAAUUAAUGGAUGAGGCAAAUCUUUUGCCUCCAUUUCGAAAAAAAAGAGGCGUAUAUUUGCCUUUAUUCGAAACGCUGGAGUUAUAAUCCGUAGAAGGGAAGGCACGUCCUAAGGUUCUUUCGAGGUAUAUUUUCAAUCCCACGACUAUCCUACUCCUGCUGCUUGAAAGAAACUUCCAGAACACUGAUUGCAAAAUGUCCAAACAUAGAACGCAAUCACUGGGAGGAGUUCUUUGCUCAGAGGAGGAGUGAAGAGUUCCUGGAGAAGAGUCACCGGGGAAAGGAGCUACAGUAAAGGAACACAUAUGGCUACCAAGGUUUUUUUUUUUUUGGAAAAGGGGAUAUACCCCAGCCUCUGCAUCAGGAAGAUGCAUACGGCUCAUAUUAUUAAAGUCAAAGUACAGCAACACAGUCUCGAAAGGUCGUAGUACCAACAAAUACAAAAGACUCAAAAUAGGUAAGGCCCAAAGCCACAACCGGCUGGCAAAACAAUAGGAUCACUACAUGCCUAUCCUAUUACAUGACCGCCAUCCAAACCGGUUGAAAAUAUCCCGAGCUACCAUCUCCCAUCGGGUAGACGCAGUAACCAAACGCUCCCUGGCCACCGUCGGAGUGAGUAGCGACCACAUACGGAUGAACGCCGUGGCCCUGAAGAUAACCUGCAAAAAGUGAAUGGUUGAUGAUCUGUUAAAGACUAAAUCAUUCCUGCAGUUUCAUAUUGCCCAUAAUAAUGCACAAACGCCAACCCGAAUGUGUCUUGCAGUGUCAGCAUCCACCCCAUCAAGCCAUGUGCCAAAUAACAUGCUGAUUGAGGUGGGCUGAUUAAUAUUAAACGCAAUAUGGACCGACCGCCACAAAAUCUUAGCCAACGGACAAUCGAGAAAGAGAUGUUUGAUGCUUUCGUUCUGAUCACAAAAGCUACAUCUAGACGAUCCCACCCAAUUUCGUUUUGCAAGGUUAUCCUUAGUCAAAAUGACUUGUUUAUGCACAAACCACAUAAACACUUUGAUACGUAAGGGUACCUUAACCUUCCAAACAUGAAACGAAGUAGGGAUAGCGCUAGAGUUAAUGACAUCCAGAUACAUUGAUUUGACCGAGAACAAACCGUUCUUAGUAAGUUUCCAAUGCAACUGAUCUGGCUGCUGAGACAGCCGGAUUUCCAUCAACCGACUAACAAGAUGCAGCCAGGCCUCCCAACGAUUUCCAACAAGCGUCCGUCUAAAACUGAUAUUGAGGGGAACGGAUUGUAAAACAUUAGCAACAUAGGCUUCUCUACGUCGGACAAUGUUGUACAAAGAAGGAUAUUGAAGUGCAAGUGGGGUCUCCCCAAGCCACGUAUCCUCCCAAAACCUUGUAGUAGCACCAUUCCCAACAAUAAACUUAGUCUUGUUGAAAAAAAGUUUUUUAACUCUCAUCAAACCCUUCCAAAAGGGAGAGUCGGAAGGCCUCACAUUCACCUGAGCCAAAGUCUUAGCAAAGAGAUACUUAUUGCGCAAAAUCUGAGCCCAAGUUGCGUCCCUCUCAGAUGACAGCUUAAAUAGCCACUUGCUAAGGAGACAUAUGUUUUUGACUUCCAGAUUUUCAAUGCCUAGACCUCCUUGCUCCUUAGGCCUACAGAUUAUAUCCCACUUAGCGAGCCUAUACUUUCGUUUAAGCUCAUCAAUUUGCCAAAAGAAACGCGAUCGAUAGAAAUCUAACCUUUUCCUGACUCCAACCGGAACCAAGAAAAAGGAUAAGAGAAACAUAGGCAUACUAGUGAGGACCGAAUUAAUCAGAAUCAAUCGUCCUCCGUAUGACAUGAGCUUUCCUUUCCAACAGCUCAGUUUCUUUUCAAAACGAUCCUCAACGCAUUUCCACUCAAAGUUAGUCAGCUUACGAUGAUGAAUGGGUAUACCUAAGUACGUAAACGGUAACGAGCCCAAUUCACAUCCGAACAAUUGUUGAUACGACUCCCGAUCAUCAUUAGCUCUUCCAAAGCAAAACAAUUCGCUCUUGUGGAAGUUGAUUUUGAGCCCAGACAAUUGUUCAAAUAAGCAUAACAGCAGCUUCAUGUUUCUUGCUUUCGCCAAGUCAUGCUCCAUAAAGAUGAUAGUAUCAUCAGCAUACUGAAGAAUGGACAUCCCGCCGUCAACUAGAUGAGGAACCAAGCCAGCUACCUGCCCGGCAUCCUUUGCCCGACCUAUUAAGAUAGUCAGCAUAUCAGCCACUAUGUUGAAGAGGAUCGGUGGCAUAGGGUCUCCUUGCCGUAGCCCCUUGUGUGUUUGGAAAUAGUGACCUACGUCAACAUUCACCUUAAUCCCUACACUCCCUUUUUGCGUAAAGGAAUCAACCUGGUUUCUCCAGGCCGGAUCGAAACCUUUCAUACGCAAAGCUUGUUGAAGGAAAGACCAUUUAACUUUAUCAUAAGCUUUCUCAAAAUCCACUUUAAAAACUACGCCAUCAAGUUUUUUGGAGUGGAUUUCAUGAAGCGUUUCAUGCAAAACAACAACCCCUUCCAGGAUGUUUCUAUCAGGCAUGAAAGCAGUCUGGGACGGCGCAACUACUGAGUGUGCAAUUUGCGUAAGUCUAUUCGUCCCGACCUUGGUGAAAAUUUUGAAACUCACAUUAAGCAGACAUAUGGGUCUGAACUGCUCGAUGCGAACAGCCUCUGUCUUCUUAGGGAGAAGUGUUAUAGUCCCAAAAUUCAGUUUAAACAAAUGAAGCUCCCCUUCAAAAAACUCUUGAAACAUGGGCAUCAAAUCCCCCUUAAUAAAAUGCCAACAUUUCUUGUAAAAUUCCACCGGGAACCCAUCUGGUCCUGGGGCCUUGUUAUUCUUCAUUUGUGCAAUAGCCUCAAAAACCUCUUUCUCGGAGAAAGGCGCAGUCAAAAUUUCAUUUUCGGCAGUCUCAAGUUGAGGCACAUCCUCAACCCUAGACUCAUCCAACGUUACGGAAGUCCCUACCGGGGGACCAAACAACUGCUUAUAAUAAUUGGUAAUGUAGACUUUCAGAUUGUCCUGACCAACUAUUGUCCCUUCAUCUUGUUCUAGUUGGAAAAUUCUCUUUUUACGAUGCUUCCCGUUGGCAACCAUAUGAAAGAAUUGAGUGUUAUCCUCGCCUUCAACGAUUUUGCGAGUCUUAGCUCGCAACGCCCACUUCAAUUCCUCCUCACGAAGAAGCUUUUUAAGCUGCAACUCCGCUUCUACCUUUGUUUCCAGCUCAUUGGACUCCAAGAUAGAAGUUUCAGCUUUAACUUCAAGGUUGUGAAUAAGUAGGAGAAGUCUCUCCUUCUCCACCUUAUAAAUCCCGUUCAUGUGCUUAGCCCAACCACGAAGGAAACUACGGAGAUGACGAAUCUUGCAUUGCCAACGCUCGAUUGGCGUCCUACCUCCCGAGUCCUUCGCCCACUCUAUAGCUAGCAACUCAAGAAACCCUUCUCUUUCAAACCAGGCAAGUUCAAACGAGAAAAAGUUCUUGUUGCCCACAAAAUUUUGAACUCCGGAGUCGACUAGUAACGGUGUAUGAUCCGAGACACCUCGAGUCAUAGCCUGCACAGUUACCAGAGGAAACUUCUGUUCCCACUCGACACUAGCUAGCACACGGUCAAGUUUCUCAAAGGUCGGAACCGGUAACGAAUUAGCCCAAGUGAAUUUCCUACCCGAAAGCUCAAUCUCCCUGAGAUCCAAGCUUUCGAUGAUAGUGUUGAACAUAAACGGCCAGCGGCCGUCAAAAUUGUCAUUAUUCUUAUCCUCCUUUCUUCGGAUAAUGUUGAAAUCCCCUCCCACUAAGAGAGGUAGCUGCUCGUUACCACAGAUACGCACUAGAUCCGCCAAAAAAUCUGGCUUUAGCUCUGGUUGCGCAGCUCCGUAAACUGCCACCAAUGCCCAAUCAAACCCGUCUGCCUUAUUGCGGACUCGAAACUUGACAGCGAACUCUCCCAUAACUACGCUCCGAACCUCCAACGAUUCGCACUUCACCCCAAGUAGAAUCCCACCGGAUCUUCCUCGAGGAGGGAGGCAAUGCCAAUCAAAAGCUACCCCCCCGGACAAAGUGGCAAGAAAUUGAGAAGUGAAAUUGCUUCUUCCAGUCUCAGACAAAGCAAUAAAAUCUAAAUGAUGUUCAAGAGAAGCAUCCGCUAGAAACCUCCUUUUAGCCAAGUCUCUAAGACCUCUGCUAUUCCAGAAAAUGCCUCUCAUAACUCAUCAUGAAAUUUUUUGGCAGUACGGAUCCUAGCACUCCUACGCGCAGCGGAUACUGGAUAAACCUUACGUUUCCAUGUCCGCUUAGGCUUUAAGUGACCAUCAGCCUGAUCACCGCCCUCCUUCACAGCUUCUAUCACUAAAGACUCAUCUGCAAGAAGAGACGUCUCAGGAAUGGUGUCCUCCUCUAUCUCUAUAAAUGCAGGGUCAAGAUCAGCACACAUGCCAUCAAGAACCCUAACCCCAAGCGCAUCAAUCUCCGAGUCAUUCAUUGGUUUAACGGCAGCUAUGUGACGAAUCAUAUCUACCGCACGAUCAGCUUCUAAAUCAAGAAUGUCGUUAACCGACUUGGCAAUUUCAGCAUCAUUAUUACCAAGUGAAAUUCCUAAUUGAGUUGCAUUAUUAAUGAUUUCAUUAUCAGUAAAAUGCAAAAUGGAAUUCGACUUAAUAACAGACAUACCAGUGGAGGUCUCGACGUCAUGCAACUUGGCAGCCCUCAACGCACACCUCAGUUGAAUGUCAUCAACAUCCGGCUGCUCCUGCAGCCUCCCGCUGAUCCGCCUCCCCUGGGAGACAGGAUCCGGAAUACCACCAAAGGCAAUGACCUCCUCUCGAGAAGCCCUGCUAGGGGAAGGGCCUCCUGCCCGUCCCCCAACAGCGGUGCCCCGGAUCGCAGACACCGGAGCAGGAGAAGAAAGAGGCGGCGUCACCUGCAGCCCGAGCACGGGCGACCCACGAGCAGCAGAGCUCGGGGCAGCCAACGCACCGCGCACCGGGGGAGAAGCUGUAAGAGCGACCGCGUCGCCCAAACCACCCGACACAACGGGAACCGGCGAGUCAGCGGCCUCCCGCCCAGCCACACCCUCGGCCGCGCGAGGAGAAACCGCAGCCAAAGGGGCGGAUCUGGCCGGUGAAGCAGCUGGUCCGUGGCCGCCCCCAGCUGCCAUCCCCCCGAAGAAAACUCCCCCCGCCUCAGAGGAAGCCAAAGAGGGGGGCGAGUGGUGCGCAGGCCUCCUGCCCGCAUGUCCCACCCGAGGUCGCCCGAUCCUCCGAAGGGGCGAAAACCUCCGCGCUGGCCCUAGGCACCAAAGAGACAGGCGUCUCAAGAGCUCGGGAAGGCCGGCCCUCACUCCCGCCCACGUCCGCCAAGGUGCCCAGCGAAGACAACGUCGAUGAAGUAGGAGUAACAUGGACCUCCUGUCCAGAAGUUCCUUCCGGACCAUUGACAAACAAGACAGAGUCAACCCCCGUAAUCGCAGGCGGCAAAUGCUCAGACAGGUCAUCCAUGUCCACCCGAUCACUCCAAAGACGAGGAGGCGCCGAGAAAGCUCCUACGGAACCCAGUUGCAGCAUAUUGGACGGGACCGAAACCGGCGAUUUCCCCUGAGCAGACUCUCCUGCCUUAGACGAAUCCACAGGCCUGGAAUCCCUGUCCCCAUCAUUAUGAGUAUUACUACCAUGGUUCCCAGGGGCGCCUCCCCCCUCAGUAGUAUCCAUAUGAUGCACCUCAUCAAACUCCUGAAACAAAUUAGGAUCCUCAUACUCGACAUUCAACAUGUACGCAAUACCCUCGUGACACCAUCUGACCACAUCCGGCAAGAACUCGAUGUUGGCCACGCUAACCAGCAAGCGCGCCACACCAUGAGCACGGGUGAAGGGCAUAUCUACCUGCUCCGUCUUACCAAGCAAGGAUCCCAAGCUCCAUGUGACGAAGAAAUCAUUCAAGGGCUCAGAUGGAGCACCCAGAAAACGAAUCCAGAUCUGAGUUAGAGGUGUGCCCUGCGGCUCCGCCUUCUUCCACUCAUCAAACUGCAACACAAAGCUAGUGCCAGUAACUCUACACAUACCAAACUUGAGAAUUCUCUUCUGGUCCUCCUUAGAUGGAAAUUCCACUUUGUAAGACUGAUCUGAUAGUUUCAACAAGGACCAGUUAAAGUUCCCCGGAGCCAACUCCCGCAACUGCUGAAUGAUCUGGGCUUCAGUGAGAUGUCCGGAGACCACCUUAACCACCCCGGGGAAGGAGGUCUCAAAAACAGGAGCCACCGAGGCCACGCUAGGUGACUCGAAGAACAUCAACUCAGAGCAACAGAGCCCAUAAAUAUUAAGUGCCGGUUUGGGACCCAGAAGAAGCGGACACUCAGCCGCCACAUGUUUAGGUUUUCGACAAAUAUCACAUAACUCAGCAGAGCAAUCAACCAUGAAGUGACCCGUCUCACCGCACCGGAAACAGAUCAGUUUCUUCUUCUUAGCCGCCCACUUGGAGAGCUUGUCCCCCCCGGCCUUUUCCGAUCCUUUGUCAGAAUCAGCAUCAACGGAUUGCACAGUCACCGGAACUGUCACAUCGGCGAGCGCCCGAACCGUCUCCACCACCGCGUGAGUGAGACCAGCGUCAUCCGUGGACAUGUCAGUGGUUUCCGAACCCGUAGCACCGGGCAAAUUGCGCGGAGGAUAACGGCGGUGACCGCCACGACCACGGUAGCGGCCCCGGAAACGACUCGGGCCAACCGCCCCCUCAACAAAAUUCCCCGGAGGUCCAUGGAAACCACGACCGGCAGCCCCGUGAUCUGUCCAACCAUAGCCCUGCCCACCACCAGUGGACGAUGAGCCACGAUGAAGACCACGACCGUAAGCAUCGUAACCAUCGUCACCCCACUGACCACGGGGAGGGUCGCGGCUUUCACCCGCGAACGCUCCCGACCCGCGGCCCGCAGCAGCAUUAGCAGGUCCACCCCGCCCGAGCGCCAUCUGCCGCGGCCAGGGGCGCGGCGCCUGAGGGGGUGCGGCCCCGGCCGGCUGCGCCGCCGGAACCCUGGUGGGAGGCGCAGCCUGCGCAGGCGCCGAAGGCGCAGCCGACGCCGGCACAGCCGUCGGACCACCUGACGCAGCCCUCGCAGGCGGCUUCGCCGGCGGCGGAGCCUUGGCCAACGGCGGGGCUUUGGGUGGCAUAGCUUCGCCGGCUACCGUCGGAGAGCAGCGGCAAGGAUGCAGCGCCCGCCUCACACGGCGAGUCCCAGCAGGAGGGAAGCCCAAUCUUCCGCGGCGGCGAACCCUAGAGAAAACCUCGAAACGGCCAGGAGAGACCGAACGUGCAUGCGAAACCACGCGAACCGAUGCGGUCACAUGCACGGGAGCCACUCCAGCCCAGUCCGCAGCGGCCGGUUUUGCCUGGGCCUGAAGCCCUGCUAAUCCCGGUCCGCCCUCGGAUGAAACCCCCUGGCCAGACGGCCUAAACGCGGGCUGGCCUUCAUUUCGGCCCACCGAUUCAAGCCCAUCAGCGCGCAACAACGAAUUCAAACGCGUGAUCCGCUCCGAUCGGAUCACGCCCGCACGGUCAAUCGCCGGCGCCGGCUCCGGCGCCGCCGCCGGUCGCCGACACUUCUUCCUCUUCACUAUCUUCCACGAUCCCUCUGUAAUGAAAUCUGACAAGGUAAGUUUUGGGAGACAUACCUUAGGAAUAGGCCCCUUCCAUGGCCGGAUCGCAGCCGCCGCCGUCCGUCGAUGAACCAUGCGUCGAACAAUCUCAAUCUUGUCCUCUGCCCCCAAGCCUUGCCGCGCCGGAUCAUCCAUCGGCACGACGCCAUCAACGAUCGUGGCCACAUCCUCUUCCGAGUACCCGGGAUCGAACGCCUCGCAGAUCACAGACGACGGCGUUGGCGAGUACGCCUCCGGCAAACCUCCGGCGACGUCCCCAUCGUCAUCGUCCUCCGCAUCAGCCUCCGCUAGAGCCCAGAACCUCCCACCAACGAGCCCCACGCUAGAGGUCGCCGGCGGCAUGACCGCGGUGGUCGCCCAGGAGUCGCCCGUUCACUGUGGUACUAGGCUCGGUUCUCAAGAGCUUCUUGCCCCCCACCAUCUACAAUCUGCGCCAGGUUUAUGAUCGAAGGAAAAAUACGACCAACACCUUGGCGGCCGUGGUUACCUAGGGAAAAGAUUACACUGGACCAGAGAGGACGCCGCACUAGCCACAUCUAGGAAACCUCUUCCUUUAGAGUACAUCAAGGAGGGGCACACCACUUCGUAAGGGGGAACACAACCUAUUACCAUGUCAUCAAUUGCCGCUACCCCGGAACUCAAGGAAGUAUUCGACCAUUUCGUAACAUCUCAACGCAAUGUCUUUUCGUAGUUCAUUACUCCACUUUCAAUACACUCAGCAAAAUAGCUUGCAUCGAGAACAUUACAUAUGAAUCGGUAUGUUCGUGAUAGUGUACAAAUAGUGUAACUACAAGACCAAAAGAGCAAGAAAUAGUGUACAAAUUCAUAUGGUCUUAAAAGUUUCAAGCAUUAUUAAGGUUGUAACAUUAUGUAUUGGUGCUCUCUCUCUCUCUCUCUCUCUCUCUCUCUCAGCAGUAUUGUGUGAUAGAAUUUUUAAUUUUUUAAUUUGUGCUAACGUAGCAUUCAUAUUGCAGCAUGUAAAAAGAACAUAUGACAUAAAUGAUCUUAUAACUAAACUAAACAUAAAACUAUUGAGCCCUGAACUCUGGUUUUGUCCAUUUUACUUGGCCCUCUCUACCAAAACUACAAUGGUUUUGAUUGAUGUCACAUACGUACGUGUAAAUUUUUUGUGAAAUGUUGCCCAUGUGGUGCAAUAAAAAAUAUUUGUUCUAUCUAUCAAUAUUUUUGGAAAAUACAGAUAAAUAAAUUUGGGGUUAAAGUAAAAAAACUGGCAAAUAUAGAAUCCUUUUAUUAAGAAAGGUGAAACUUCUGAACGAACACGAAAUUAUGGAACAGAAAAAACCAGCGAUACCAUUCAAAAAGGAAAAAAAUAUAUGGAAAAUGGGAAGUGAGCAAAUAGUCAGAAGAGUUCCAAGUCUCAUAAAGAAUUAUGAAGUACCAUUAAAUAAUGAACAAAAUAUUUAGGGAAGAAACACAUAUUUCAAAAUUUAUUAAGAUGUAUUGUUUGGACGUUGCCCUAUGUCCAGAUAUUCAUGAAUAGUGAUAAUAUAUUGUUUUCUUUAUUUUUAGAAUCUACAGUAAAUGGUUCAUUUCUGUAUCUCUAAGGAUUUACUACCUCCGUUCGGACAUAACUGAUGUGGUUUUAGUUCAAAUUUAAUUCGAACUAAAAUCACAUCAGUUAUUUCCGAACGGAGGGAGUAUUUGUUAUCCAUGAUAUAUUUUGUUCCAAGUUAUUUUAUUUGAUUUUAGUAUCUCUAUCUCCUAGCGUUGUCUCUUUUAUUCAUUUCUAUUUAGAAAUUUUCCCCUUUUCAAAUUUUGUAUUCUUUUCCAACUUUUCCCUAUUUUUCAUAGUUUUGCUCCAUUUUAAUUACUUUAUAUAUGAUUAUCUCAAGUUGUUUCUUUCAUCGACAUGUGUUAACAAAAGCAUUAGACAAGUUGGCACGUCUAAACAUAAUAUAUUAUAAUGAGUUUUAAGUUGCAUUUAUGUGUUUGUUUUAUUAUAGCUGAUUGUUAAUUUUUAUGCGUGCAUAUUUAUCAAUUAUCAGUAUUAAUAUGAGAUACAAUCUCUUUAUUCACAGAUGUGGAAAGCAAUGUCAUAUAAAAGAAAUCAACGGGUUUUGGUCAUCGGUAUUGUGUGGGCCCAGGUGCCAGGCACAUCCGGUGGCUCUUGCUAUUAGGAUAGGUGUAUUGCCACCCGGAAAAGGGCCCUAGAUUCUAGCACUCUUUCACAUGCAUGUCCAUUUGCAUCUGAGAAUGCUUCGGCGAUGUCUCGGUGAUAAUAUACAAAAACAUUUUGCGUCGCCAACAAGAAGGGAGGAAAGCCAUCAAACAUUUUCCCCCUCGACAGCAUCACCAUGAAAUGCAAUCAUUUAUUCAUCGGUCUUGGAAGCCUCCAUAGCUUCCUUCAAAAUUAUCAAGACCAUCAAGAUUGGUUUGUAACUUGGUAUUCAUGAAUUUAUGAAAACAAAAAAUUAUCAAUCUUUGGGCCAUAUUGGCAUCCUUCUCCGGCAAGGGUACGUCUAAGGAGACUCUGAAACAACAAAGAUGAAAGUAAUAUACACACCGAUUGGUGGAAAGUACAUGUAUGAAACCAUGGGCAUAUGCACCCACUACGAAAAACUCAUUUCUAAGUGCCAAAAAAUUCUGAAAAAAGUUUCACGCAUACAUCUUCACAUUCUAUGUGCGCACAGGAAGUUCCAUGCAAAAACAACUUCUUCUUUGGCCUCUGCAAAAAAGAAAACAAAAGUGACGUGGCAUGUUAUUUAGAAGCACUGAAUUUGUCUUUUUCAUGGAGGCAAAAUAAAAAAGAAAAGUUUUCAUAAAACUUUGUGUCGUGCACUAUGUUUCGAAGAUGUAUGCGUGAAAUUUUGUAUCUGAAUUUUUGACAUUGUAAAUUGCAGUUAAAAUGCAUUUUUUAAAAGUGGGUUCAUAUGUCAGGGUGCCCCCACUCAACGAUUCGCUUGUAACCUUGGUAUUCAUCAAUUUAUGAAAACAAAAGAUUAUCAAUCUUUGUGCCAUUCUUUGUCAAGAUUGGAAUCCUUUUCCGGCAAAGGUUCAUCGAAGGAGACUCCCAAACAGCAAAGAUGAAAGUACAUAGACACCGAUCAACAAGACCACAAAACUCACGUGAUUCACGAAAUUUGACGUCGCGAUCUGUCCAAGCGUGCACUAUAAAGUUGUUUCUUUCUAGAUUAGCGCGAGUCCCUUUUUUUGCAGGUGAGCAUUAGUGCGAGAUCUAACCAAUGAAGAAAAAUCGAUGCAUCCACGGGAUGGGAUCUGAAUCUGUGGAGGCGCAUGCAGACUGUCAUGAAUGUGUGUCCAACUCAACCCAUGUGGGAGGCAUGGUACGGCAAAAGAAACAAGUACCUGCUGGUUGCUAUGUACCUGUCAUUGGGACCAAUGUGACAUUGCAAAUCUAUCCUAUCCAGCCAGCUCGCUGAGUAGGAGAGAAGGAACUUCAUGCCAAACAGAAGGACCGUGCCCUAAUAAAACAUGAGUGAAUUCCGGUUUUUAUUCUCUAUUUUGACAUUUUUUGACACUAAUUACCCCAUUUAGCGGGAUUUCAUCUGUUUUAUCCCAUUUAGCAAAUUCACCCUGUUUAAAAUUUUAUGAGCAUUCUGACAUAUGGGUCCCAAUUGUAAGGUCCAGCUAGAAUGCCAAAUCGCCGGGUUUUUUUCCGAUGGUUUUCUACACGCCAAACCAGGUCGCCCUAGCUUCUCCCGACUGGCCAAGCUUGAUAUGAUCGCACCAGAGCAGCUCGGGAAACAGAGUACUAACUCUGCACCGGUAAACAUAUUUGCUAAUACGGAAAAGGAAACUUCUAAAACAUGAUUUACCUAGUUCAUUCUUCGCUAGAUAUGUAGAUAUGUACGUGCAUCAGAGGUACUGAAGCAGUAUAUUUACACCACUUUUAAUCUGAUCCACAUAAUCAUUCAUACUUAAGGUUGUAUAUGAUAAUACUGAAGAAAAACAUACAUGAUUUCAUAUUAUAUCAGCAACAGUCCCUCCUAGAAUUUAUUCAAUGGGAACAUGCCACGCUGAUCAAGUACAGUCAUCUCAUCACAAUACUUCUUCGAACCGGAAACGAGUAGUCUAAACCUAUCUAAUAUGCAUCCCAGACUAAGAGAAAAUCUAGCCACAAAAAACCUAACCACCAGGGGUCACAAACAGAGGAUGCAGCAUGCAUGGGACGGGACAAGAUUGUCGUAUUGGUUGCCGCUUGCUCCGACUAUCGCCAGUGGCCACGACUUGAAGUCUUGCCUGUCGUUGUCACCUACGUCGUGCUACCCCCUCCUAACGAAUGAGGCGGUGGUUUUGGGUCAGACCAGGGCAGGAUCGUGUGUGCAAUGGGAAUGCGAGUGAUGUGUGCCGUGAAUAAUGGAGGCCAAUGUGAUAUGGCCCAACCUGGGCGACUUGGCUAUCCGGCGAGCUGCUUUGGUGCCAUCAUAUCAAGCUUGGCCGGUCGGGAGAAGCUAGGCGAUGCCUUUAGGCGUGCAGGAAAACCAUCAGGAAAAAUCCGCCUAUGUGGCAUGCCAGCUGGACCUUACAAUUGGGACCCAUCGGCCAGAACACUCACAAAAUUUUAAACAUGGUAAAUUGUGGCAAUAUUUUUGCUAAAUGGGGUAAAAUGGAUGAAAUCCCGCUAAAUGGGUAAUUAGCGUAAAAAAUGUUAAAAUAGGGGGUAAAGACGGAAUUCACUCAUAAAACACUGCAAUCCUCUAUAUUUUCUGGACCCUUGAAAAUUUGAGUUACCGGAGCGCUCGUAUUGUUAAAUCGUCGGAGAGAGCAAAAGAAACUGAUCAAAAGCACAUCAACUAAAGGCUAAAUCAGAAUACCUAUGCAGCUGCGAUCAGCAUCUGAACCAUCUCCCAGCUACCUAACCGCAAGGAUGAAAGAAAUUUAAGCACACCUCUUCCAUCUACCUAGCCAUAUGAUGAUGAAAGAUAUUUAAGCACCUCUUCCCUCUACCUAACCAUAUGAUGAUGAAAGAUAUUUGCAUCUCAACCAUCUCCCAGCUACCUAGCCGCAAGGACGAGGUACAUGAAGCGACUUUGACGGUGAUCUCUACGUGGUGGUUUCAUCUACCGACUCGAGUCAACUAUAGCUAAUAUGCAUACUAUUGAAGCUGGAUACAUAAUAACUAACGAAAAGAAAACCUGAUCGCAGCCGGUUUUCACGUAUGAAUUGACUGGAAGACUUAAGAAUUCCGGUCAGUUCUUCUCACAAAAUUGAAUACUUAAGUAUUACCGUCGUUUUACACUAAAACCGCAUAUGUUACUAAUUUCAGGGCUGACAUAAUUUAUGUUUAGAGCAAACCCUGCAGAUCAAAAUUCACACCAAUUGAUUUUCAUCAAUCACAUGUCAACACAUGAUGCAUCACAAAUACACAUUCAAAUUCAUGUCACAACUGCAUUGUAUUUCAUUCCAGUGUACUCCCUCCGUUUCUUUUUACUCCGCAUAUAAAAUUUGGUCAAAGUCAAACUACACAAAGUUUGACCAAAUUUAUAUAAAAAAAUAUAAACAUCUACAAUAUUAAAACUAUAUAGUAUGAAAAUACAUUUCGUGGUGCAUCUGAUAACGUUGAUUUCAUACUGUCAAUGUUUAUAUUUUUUAAUGUAAAGUUAGUCAAACUUUACAAAGCUUGACUUUGACCAAACCUUAUAUGCAGACUAAAAAGAAACGAAGGGAGUACACAAUAUUCCGUUCCUUGUUUCUCUGGAGGCCACAUUGGAGAGAGUGUGUGUGUGUGUGUGAGUGCAUGGGUGGGUGGGUGGGCGCGCGUGUGAGCGGAUCGGGCCAAUGACAUGAAGUGAUCAAUCACAUGGAUAUCAUCGAUAAGGACAUACUCCGGCACCUCUUGCAACUCCCCCUCCGCUUCUCCCUGAGAUCUUGCAGCAAAGGCAAGCAUAUACCAGACGCUCACGCAAUCGUUUACUCAAAACUCAAAUGACCUCCCAAGAUUCCAUAAUAGUAGUUCUACUGCAACUAAAACCAACAUUCUACUAAUAAUUUGCCAAGACUAGCUCAGUAAUACUACUGAACUAUGGCUUGCGUCGGUCUCCGUGGUCGUGUGGGCAUCUUGGAUACUGGAUCUCGAGAUGGUGGCGGCCUUUCUGAGGCUGGAUGGUCGUGGUCGCUUCAAGUCACGAUCAAUGAUGGGCAGCAGCCGGCACAAUUCUCCCAAUAUGCAUGCUAUGGGUCUGCGUAAGUUGCAUAGAGAGGUCGCACGCAUACCUCAGAAGAGAGAUUGAUUAUAAGUGAUGAAUGAUAAUCCCUUCUUUCUCUACCGCCUACUAACGGUUAUAAUCGGUCGAUUGGGAUUUCUGCAAUUCACAAUCACAUAGACCGAGAACCAGCAAAGCCCCAAGAAUGCUUGCACAGUUUGAGUUCCAAAUUAAUUAAACACAAGAUAUUGUUUUCUAGUAACAGGAUAAUAAUCUUGUUGUCCUGUCUUUGUAGCUACACCCACCCCGUCCGAGUCUUCAUCAAGCAUUGACCAAUUUAUCAACCAAACGUGGCUGAUGGAUCAAUUUGUUGUCCAUUUCAACAAGUUAUGAGGGUGGACAUGGUCAUGUGCAGUGCAGUGCAGUGAUGAAGAGGUUAGGGACGACGAAAUUUCUUCUCAAGAGGCGUGCAUGGGCACUCCGCAUGUGCAAUCAUGAAGAUGAUGCAUGAUAGGCGAAGCUUCUUCCGGCCAGCCGCCGCGCUCCAGAAUUCAACGGACGAGACUAGUGCAGGCUUAAAUUGUUCCAUAAAAUGGCGGCACUCGGCGCCUCGGCUCAUUCAUCCAACCAUGUCCACGCUGAGAGCGCGGCGUGCGACGGCCAUCCUGGCCGUCGUCCUGGCGGCGGCCGCGGUCGUCACUCCGGCCACGGCCCAGCAGUGCGGCUCGCAAGCCGGCGGCGCCAAGUGCGCCGACUGCCUGUGCUGCAGCCAGUUCGGGUUCUGCGGCAGCACCUCCGAAUACUGCGGCGCCGGCUGCCAGAGCCAGUGCAGCGGCAGCGGCUGCGGCGGCGGCGGGGUGGCGUCCAUCGUGUCCAGGGACCUCUUCGAGCGGUUCCUGCUCCACCGCAACGACGCGGCGUGCCUGGCCCGCGGGUUCUACACCUACGACGCCUUCCUGGCCGCCGCCGGCGCGUUCCCGGCCUUCGGCACCACCGGAGACCUGGACACGCGGAAGCGGGAGGUGGCGGCCUUCUUCGGCCAGACCUCUCACGAGACCACCGGCGGGUGGCCCACCGCGCCCGACGGCCCCUUCUCGUGGGGCUACUGCUUCAAGCAGGAGCAGGGCUCGCCGCCGAGCUACUGCGACCAGAGCGCCGACUGGCCGUGCGCACCCGGCAAGCAGUACUAUGGCCGCGGCCCCAUCCAGCUCACCCAGUAAGCACCCACAAAACCCUCUUCUUCAUGUAGUUCUCUCCUAACUCAAAAUUCCUCAGCUUUAACCAAGUGUACAUGAAAAAUUACCAACAUUUGUGAUAGUACCGUCAGCGUAAUUAGAUAAAGCAUAUUUUCAUAUGAUAUUGUUUGGAUUGGUAAAAACAUAAAAAGUGUAGUGUCUUUGUUGGCCUGUUUGUUUCAUGAUGGAUUGAUUCAGCAACUACAACUACGGACCGGCGGGCCGCGCAAUCGGGGUGGACCUGCUGAACAAUCCGGACCUGGUGGCCACGGACCCGACAGUGGCGUUCAAGACGGCGAUAUGGUUCUGGAUGACGACGCAGUCCAACAAGCCGUCGUGCCAUGACGUGAUCACGGGGCGGUGGACUCCGACGGCCAAGGAUAGCGCGGCCGGACGGGUGCCCGGGUAUGGUGUCAUCACCAACGUCAUCAACGGCGGGAUCGAGUGCGGCAUGGGGCAGAACGACAAGGUGGCCGAUCGGAUCGGGUUCUACAAGCGCUAUUGUGACAUCUUCGGCAUCGGCUACGGGAAUAACCUCGACUGCUACAACCAAUUGUCGUUCAACAUUGGGCUCGCGGCACAGUGAGAUAGUAAGACUAUGGGUCCUCGAUCUAUGCAUGUGUGGAUGUGAUCACGCAUAAAUAAAUAAUCUUGGUGAUUACUUUAUGACCAAAUAAAUGGAUGACCAGACCUCCCACAUGUGUAGUACAUGUAUGUCGAUGCACGGAAAGGAAUCACCUUUAUUAAAAAUAUAUUCUAGUUUAUGCAGAAAUAUCUGCAAAUAUAUAUGUCGCCUACGGUCCAUACUUGCUUGUCUUGGUGGACUGAUCUUUCAUACCCCUACGUCCCAAACUUAUUUGGGACGGAGCGGACAGAGUACUCCAGUAAUUUUGAUAAUAAAGUGACGGGCGUUUAGAGCAGAAAUGGCUUUACGCGGGGGGAGUCGCCACGGAAUUUCUGAGGUAGAAUCGCGUUGUUUCCCUCCUUUUUUUGUUUACGGAAUUUCUGCUCGGUGAUAGGGGGUGUGUUGGGGCUAGUUCGUUUGCUGCGUUGGAGUUUUCAUGGGUGCAGGUAGGAGGAGAGGUGAUCAUGCGUGCAUAGAGGAAGGUAUUCCUUCGCGAACUAGUGGGCAGAUCCUUGUUGUGUGCAUUUUGUGUUAAUUCAACUCGAUUUUUUCUGUGUAUUAUUGAAGUCAGGCUAACUAUUACUCCAACGCUCUUAUAUUUCUUUAGGAGGGAGUACAAAUCAUCAGCAUUUCGCCCCCAUACAUCCGAAGUUCUUCAAAAGACUUAGCCCCUUUAACAAUCAUCAAGAGCAUGCGCAGGUAGUACAGUUCACCACUCAUAGCAUGUACAUAGUAAUCCCGCCCCCUUUCAUGCCAUGAUUUACUUUUAGCAUCCCAUGUCCACCCAAUCAGAAAAUCACAGUACGUAAAUGACCGACCAUGCUCAUAGAAUUCAUUGGCAACAAAACAUUUAGUGACCAUAGUUUUUUUCAAGAAGUCAGAACCAGCAAUUUUUGUAAUGUCAGCACCAGCACGAUAUCGAACAAUAUUCAUGCCAGGCAUAUGAACAGUUAAUCUUUCUACAGAGGGAAUUUUAAAGUGUAACGACACAAUCAAAUACUCUUUUACUUUAUCAAUUGAAAGAUAGCCGGUUACACAUCGAAUACUCUCCGAGCCAACCAGCAGCUGACACGCGAAGGGCCGACACAGGAAAUCCCCACACUGCCCUUGGCGGGCUCUCAAAACUACAGGCGGAGCCACCGCACGAUCCAGCGCUGAAGUCACACACCGCGGCUGGCCGCACACACGACGCCGACAAGAGGGCCCCACCAGGCAUCGAGCCCAUGCGACAGAGAGACACGACCUAAUGGGCGACAUGAGAAAAAGGAACGUAAUGUAGAGCAGGUACAAGUAAAAUUUUAUCCAACAGCCCAGCUCAUCCCAGAGCAGAUCAAACGACUCAGAUCGCAUCAAGUUCGAGAUCUGACGGUCCAAAUGGCCUGAGCUCCGAGAGAGCCCAUGUUUAGACAUGAAUCUAACUAUGGGAUACCCACCACCAGUGGCGGAGCUACGGGGGAGGGGGGCACUGNNNNNNNNNNNNNNNNNNNNNNNNNNNNNNNNNNNNNNNNNNNNNNNNNNNNNNNNNNNNNNNNNNNNNNNNNNNNNNNNNNNNNNNNNNNNNNNNNNNNNNNNNNNNNNNNNNNNNNNNNNNNNNNNNNNNNNNNNNNNNNNNNNNNNNNNNNNNNNNNNNNNNNNNNNNNNNNNNNNNNNNNNNNNNNNNNNNNNNNNNNNNNNNNNNNNNNNNNNNNNNNNNNNNNNNNNNNNNNNNNNNNNNNNNNNNNNNNNNNNNNNNNNNNUAAUUUCUGAAGAAUUUUUUUAGAGAAACUUAGAUUAAAUGUUUUUUUUUAACAUUUUGUGACCCCCUGUCCCCAGAGCACGCCGAGAGCACGAGCACCAGUUCACCAUCCGUGCAGAUGGAGGGCGGAGGCGCCGCAUCAGCUGAGGCGCAGAAGGGCGCGCCGGUUCCUGUCAGCCGCCGCCAAAGGCCUUUUGGCCGGCGCGGUUGACACGCCACCGGGAGAUGGACUACGCCAGCAUCGCCCGCUGAGCAUUCACCGUCGUCGUCAACGUCCUGGUCGACGAGCUCCUCGCCAGCCCACCGGACGCCACGGCGGGCGAAAGGACGCUGAACUACAUGCUCGAGGCGGCGGCGUUCAUCGGCGCAUGGUCACCUCAAACCCUUCUCUAUGUGAAUCUCAAUUAUAUAGACAAUGGAUGGUGGAAAACCAACUAAACUGGCGAUGUGGGCACCGAAAAAGGCUUCAGUAGCAGCCACUCAAGCAGACCCCUUAUAACACGGACUCUUUUAUCGUGUUUACAGUUUCCGGCAAAACGCGUUUUGCGGGUUUUGGCCGACCCUGCAUAACGGAACUGUAAAAAGUAGAAUUUUUGGCAUGCCAACAAAACUCGAUGACGCGACACUGAGACAAAACAUCUUCAGACUCAAACUCUCCUCUUUUUCUUCAGAAUUCGACUACGCGCAGAUAGAUGAAACGCAAAAGCUUCUUCAAGCGCGAAGCUUUCAGUGCUCAGUAGUUAAGUAAUAGCGGCUUUCAGUGCUCAGAUCUCACCGUAAAUUUGAAACGCUGUGUUUGAAAUCUCACAGAGGAAGAAUUCUCCCUUUCUUCAGAAAGGGAGAAGAUUUCGUCGCUGCCACUUCUUCGUGCAGAAAUAUACGCUCACGUACAGCAAAGAAACUUUCUUCGGACUAACACUCUGAAUUUGAUUAAUUAUCUCCGAAUUUUAUCAGAGGCAGUUUCAGUUCUAAAGCAUCAGAAAAGAAGGCAAAACAUUUGCAGACUUUUAAACUCCUGUUUUUCCUUCAGAAUUCGACCACAGGGGACGAACUCCCUCCGUUCUCACAUCUCAUACAUCCCCAAAACACACAAAGUGACACUGAUAUUUGACCCGAGAAUGAAACAAGAACGACACUGACACUCCAGCUAGACACGCAGCGACCAACAACCACUAGAACUCACUCACCCAUGGACAGACACGACACUGCUCAUCUUCUUCUCCUGGUUGCAAGGAAAUGAGACUCUUCUUCAAUCUUCAGUCGACCUCCUCCAUCUUGCUCUCCUCGGCGCCCUCCUCCUCCAGCGCGGGCAUGUCGGCAUCCUCCUCCUCGGCAUCCUGAUCAUCGAUGUUGAGGCCGAGCUUGAGCAUGCGGUGGAUCCUGGCGGCGAAGGUGUUGGGGUCGUCGAGGCUGAAGCCGGAGGUGAGCAGCGCCGUCUCGAAGAGCAGCAUCACGAGGUCCUUGACGGACUUGUCGUUCUUGUCGGCGUCGGCGCGCUUGCGGAGCUCCUCCAUGAUGCCGUUCUCCGGGUUGAUCUCCAUCGUCUUCUUGGAGGACAUGUAUGCGCCCAUGCUGCUGUCCCUCAGCGCCUGCGCCUUCAUGAUCCGCUCCAUGUUGGCCGUCCACCCGUACUCGCCGGUCACCAGGCAGCACGGCGAGUCCACGAUGCGGUCGGAUACGACCACCUUCUCCACCUUGUCGCCCAGGAUGUCCUUGAUGAUCUUGCAGAGGCCCUCGAACGCCGCCUUUUUUUCUUCCUUGCGCUUCUUCUCCUCCUCGGUCUCCUCGUCGAGCUUGAGGCCCUCCUUGGUGGCGGAGACGAGCUUCUUGCCGUCGUACUCCUUGAGCUGCCCCACGGCGUACUCGUCGAUGGCGUCCACCAUGAAGAGCACCUCGUAGCCGCGCUUCUUGAGGCGCUCCAGGAAGGGCGAGUUCUCCACGGCCUUGCGGCUCUCGCCGGUGAUGUAGUAGAUGUCCUUCUGGCCCUCCUUCAUCCGGGUGACGUAGUCCUUGAGGCUGGUGAGCUCGUCGCCGCUCUUGGUCGAGUGAUACCGGAGCAGGUCGGCGAGCUUGGCUCGGUUCUGGGAGUCCUCGUGCACGCCCAGCUUGAGGUUCUUGGAGAAUGCCUCGUAGAACUUGGCGUAGUCCUCCUUGUUCUCGGCGAUCUCGAAGAAGAGCUCGAUGCACUUCUUGACGAGGUUCUUGCGGAUGACCUUGAGGAUCUUGUUCUGCUGCAGCGUCUCGCGGGAGAUGUUGAGGGGGAGGUCGUCCGAGUCGACGACGCCCUUGACGAAGCCCAGCCACUCCGGGAUGAGCUCCUCGCAGUUGUCCAUGAUGAAGACGCGGCGCACGUAGAGCUUGAUGUUGUUCAUCUUCUUGCGGGUGUCGAAGAGGUCGAAGGGGGCGCGGCGGGGCACGAAGAGCACCGCCUUGAACUCCAGCUGCCCCUCCACCGAGAAGUGCUUCACGGCGAGGUGGUCCUCCCAGUCGUUGGUGAUGCUCUUGUAGAAGGACGCGUACUCCUCCUUGCUGAUCUCCUCCGGCUUGCGCAGCCAGAUGGGCUUCUGCUUGUUGAUCUGCGCCCACUCGUGGCUCACCUCCUUCACCUUCUUCGUCUUCUUCUUGCUCUCGUCCUUGUCCUUGUCAUCGUCGACCUCCUCGACCUCGCCUUCCUUCUUCUCCUCGGAAGCGUCUUCGUCUUCGUCGUCGCUGAUCUCCUUCUCGGUGGUCUUCUCGGUCCAGAGGUAGAUGGGGUAGCUGAUGAACUCCGAGUGCUUCUUGACGAGGUCCUUGAGGCGGCGCUCCUCGAGGUACUCGAGCUGGUCGUCCUUGAGGAAGAGCGUGAUCUUGGUGCCGCGGCCGAGCCGCUCGCCCUCCGUGUCGAGGGUGACGGUGAAGGAGCCGCCGGCCUGCGACUCCCACACGUACUGCUCGUC